UGUCCGACUCUUCGUGACCCCCUGGACCAGAGCACGCCAGGCACUCCUAUCUUCCACUGCCUCCCGCAGUUUGGUCAAACUCAUGCUGGUAGCUUCGAGAACACUAUCCAACCAUCUCGUCCUCUGUCGUCCCUUUCUCCUUGUGCCCUCCAUCUUUCCCAACAUCAGGGUCUUUUCCAGGGAGUCUUCUCUUCUCAUGAGGUGGCCAAAGUCUUGGAGCCUCAGCUUCAGGAUCUGUCCUUCCAGUGAGCACUCAGGGCUGAUUUCCUUCAGAAUGGAUAGGUUUGAUCUUCUUGCAGUCCAUGGGACUCUCAAGAGUCUCCUCCAGCACCAUAAUAUAUAUAUAUAUUAUAUAUAUUAUGUAUAGCAUAUAUAGCAACACCCUAGAGGUCCUGGGCCCUAAGGAAGUUAGAUUAGCCUCAACCAGAGACAGGGCCUUCUCAACACUGGCUCUGGCCUGGUGGAAUGCUCUGUCUCAUGAGACCAGGGCCCUGCGGGAUCUGAUCUCUUUCCGCAGGGCCUGUAAGACAGAGUUGUUCCACCUGGCCUUUGGCUUAGAAUCAGUUUGAUUCCCUCUCCCUCUUUCUUUUUCCUUUCUCCUCCUAUGAAGAGAUUGCACCCUAAUGUUUUAAUGUUGCAUCUUAAUCUUUUAAAUUGUAUUUUAGUCUACUUGUUUUUAUUAUUGGUUGUUAGCCGCCCUGAGCCCGGUCUUGGCUGGGGAGGGUGGGGUAUAAAUAAAAAAAUUAUUAUUAUUAAAAGGGGGAAAAACCGAGCUGACGCUCGGAGGGAGCGGCGCACGCGCUCUUGCUCACGUGGCGUAGGUCCGCUCGCUCGGUGUGCUGCCUGCUGUGGCCACCACGGCAUGAAGCCGCUAGCUGAGCAGGGAAGCACCACGACCAGCUUCCACCUCUUCCCCACUGGAGAAGCCACCCUCCAGCUGCUGCCCGCCUCCUCCAGCCCUAAAAAAAGGUUGACAACUCUUUGGAGGGGGGGCACCAGAGGUGCCAGAUAUGCUUAAGACGGCCCUGUCCCUAUAUCUCCAUCUUAACCAAAGGGAUCUUCCCAUCUCCACAAACAGAUGCCCUCCUCCCAGCCCAUUUAGUAAGUAAACUGAAAUAUACUCGGAGUCGAGAGUGGAUUUUAUGCUCUUUACUCAGCUCAUAGUGGUGAGGAGGAAUGGAAGUUCCCCCACAAUAUCUGCUUUAUAUACAUUAUUUACACAAUGGGUCGCACGUGAUUGGCUAAUUCCAGGAUUCUCCUGCAGGCUAAUCAGGUUGUGGAUUCACUUCCACCUGGAGCUGGAUUGGCUGGCUCCUGUGGACCAAUCAUACUGCUGCAUUGUUCUAGGACCAAUCAGACUGCUGCAUUUUGGAUCCUAUUGUUCUAGGACCAAUCAGACUGCUGCAUUUUGGAUCCUGUUCAACUCAGUACAUAACAUAAACACUCAAAUGAAAGUGUCAUGAUUUUCUUAACAUAUUGUUCUAAGACUGGGGUUUUGACAGGAGUAAAGUUUUGGGGUCAGAAAUACUGCAAAUAGUCCCCAGCAAAAUUGCCAAUAAGCACCAUUGUCAUUGAUACUGCAGACCUCGGCGUGACUUUGUAUCUCCAGUUCCACAAUGUUCUGACAGGGAAUGCACAAAAACGCCCACAGGCACCCUAGGAGAAUGUGAGAAACUGCUGAACUUUAAUCCCUGCACAAUCUUAGAUGGCAAGAGGUUGUGACCAUUUCAAAAAAAACCCCACCAAUCAGGUCCUCAAAGGCUCUGGCACUCAACUUUCCAGGUGCUACCAAACUUUUAAUCAGUCCAUAUGACUUUUCUUCACAACCAGGAAAAUGGCGCACUUCUUGGGAGUGUUUCUCUGUAUGUUGGGCCUAGUCCUCCUGAUCACCAUCAAACUCCUUCAUAAUCGCAUAAGCAGCCAUUUCCCAGUCAUUCACUGUUGCUUACUGGGUGUGAAGAAACCAGGGACACGGGUGUAUCCAGUUUGCCUCCUCUGUGCACCAGUAAAAUAAAAGAAUAAUCGAUUUGAUAUCUUGGUUUAUUUAUUUUUCAAUCAUUUUUAUUGAUUUUCCAAUAAAAAACAUCCAAUUAAUAUAUCCAAUCAUAAUACUUCAAUUAAAAUAAAAUUUGCUGCGCCAUCCAAGAUAACAGAUUUGGACAACAUCCCGAAUUGGAAUGGAAUCAGAGGAAGCUGAGGUGAUAAAAAGACAGUUGGAAAAAUAUAUAUUAACAAAGCUGUAUUCGAUGGAUGAAAGUACAUGAUAUUUGACAUGAAUGAGAAUCGUGGACCCAGGGAUAAAGAAUUAUGAAGCGUUAAAAUCGAGAUGUGGAAAAUAUGGAAACGACGAGGAGAAGCAGGACUAAGAAGUGGAGAGAUGCUUCAGAGAUCCAGACUGUGGGGAGCUCCGAAAAAUUAAUAAAUACAAUUUGGAUUAUAAUUUGAUCUUUUUUAUUUUAGUUUUUUAUUUUGAUUUCUUGGUUUAUUUUUUAAACAGUUCUCAGUCUGUCAUCAUACAACCACUCUUGAACAGCACCAGAUUGGUAACACCAACUUAUAAAAUCUAUAUUUCAUUUAGAAAGUACAACGAAGGGUGUCUUAGAUGGUAUUUGAAGUGUAAAGGCACAUAUUUAGUACAACAAAUUAUUAUUAUUAUUAGCCAAGCUACAGGGAACGAGCCAGAGGGCCUUUUCGGUAGUGGCGCCCGCCCUGUGGAACACUCUCCCACCAGAUGUCAAAGAGAAGAACAACUACCAGACUUUUAGAAGACAUCUGAAGGCAGCCCUGUUUAGGGAAGCUUUUAAUGUUUGAUGUAUUACAGUAUUUUAAUAUUUUUUUGGAAGCCGCUCAGAGUGGCUGGGGAAGCCCAGCCAGAUGGGCGGGGUAUAAAUAAUAAAUUAUUAUUAUUAUUAUAACAGCUCAGACAAAGGGGCAAAAGAAGAACGCAAUUCUCUCGCCAAACCUUUCUGAAAUGGGUUUGAGACCGUAUACAGCGCCACAACCCCAGAGUCGUCCGUGACUGGACUUAACGGUUAGGGGUCCCUUUACCUUUACCUUUUAUAGUUACUCUGCAUCCAGUGUGCUCCCAGUGCUGGUUUGCAAAGCUGUGUACACGAUACAAUCCGCAAUCCAUAUCUAUCCAGUAACAAUUCUGUCAUUUCUUAGGAAAGACUGUGUUUUAAUAAUAAUAAUAAUAAUAAUAAUAAUAAUAAUAAUAAUAAUAAUAAUAAUAAUUUAUUAUUUAUACCCUGCCCAUCUGGCUGAAUUUCCCCAGCCACUCUGGGCGGCUUCCACAAAGACCAAAAAUACAGUAAUAUAUCAUACAUUAAAAACUUCCCUGAACAGGGCUGCCUUAAGAUGUCUUCUGAAUGUCAGGUAGUUGUUUAUCUCUUUGACAUCUGAUGGGAGGGCGUUCCACACGGCGGGCGCCACUACCGAGAAGGCCCUCUGCCUGGUUCCCUGUAGCUUUGCUUCUCGCAGUGAGGGAACCGCCAGAAGGCCCUCAGCACUGGUCCUCAGCGUCCGGGCAGAACAAUGGGGGUGGAGACGCUCCUUCAGGUAUACUGGACCGAGGCCAUUUAGGGCUUUAAAGGUCAACACCAACACUUUGAAUUGUGCUCGGAAACGUACUGGGAGCCAAUGUAGGCCUUUCAAGACCAGUGUUAUGUGGUCUUGGCGGCCGCCCCCAGUCACCAGUCUAGCUGCCACAUUCUGGAUUAGUUGUAGUUUCCGGGUCACCUUCAAAGGUAGCCCCACGUAGAGCGCAUUGCAGUAGUCCAAGCGGGAGAUUACUAGAGCAUGCACCACUCUGGCAAGACAGUCUGCGGGCAGGUAGGGUCUCAGUCUGUGGACCAGAUGGAGCUGGUAGACAGCUGCCCUGGAUACAGAAUUGACCUGCGCCUCCAUGGACAGCUGUGAGUCCAAAAUGAUGUGCUUCCCCCCAGAACCACCUUCAAUAUGAAGUAAGAAAAGGAACGACCUAGCUGUGUUUUAAGCUGUUCAUGUGUACACAGCCUUUGACACAAAUGUUUCCAGAAUCUAAUAUUUCAAGCAGUAUGUUGUUAACUGGAGGAGCCUUGUUUGAGCGGCGAUUUUACCUUCCUACCUUACUGGAGGCUUGCCUUAUCCUCUUUGCCGAGGCUGUCUGCUGUCAGACACACUGACUCCACUUAAUAAACUCACUUAAAGCAGAGCUUUCUUAAGUAACAGAGUAAGUACAUCAAUUAGUUGCUUCAGCAUAAAGACAAACAUACAUCUCCUCCAUCACUUUCUCUGGCUCACCUAGUCAACAACAAGGAAGCCAAGUCAGUAAUUAGUUGGGAAACAAAGAGUCCAUUGCUGACCUUGUCUUAAGGCCAGAAACACUGAGGCUCACUAUAGCUGUAGCUCCAAACGACUGCACUGAGCGCAAGUAUGCUCUUCACAAGUAAUAACAGUCAUAAACAGCUACUUAUGAACAAUUUGGAGCAUUAUUUUAGGAGAUUUCCUUUUCACAUUUGCACCCAGGCCUGAGAGGACCCGUGCUCACUUCACUCGUCAUUCUUGAGCAGGGGCCGGCAACCUAAGGCCAUGGGCCACAAGCGGCCCAUGGGGGCCGUUUAACUGGCCCACGAGUCGCCCCCGAACUGAGUCGCCCACUCGCGCGCUGCGCUAAACCGGCACAGCACAGCGCGGGGACUCGCUUCCACGGUGCUGGAAAUUGUGCCUGCGCAGACGCAGAUGCCAGAAAUCGUGUCUGCGUAGACGAGACGCUGGAAAUCGCAGGCGCUUGCGCGCGCAAUCCAGCCCACAGAGGGAUCUCUGCUGGAGUGAACUGGCCCAGGUGAGGUAAACCUUGCCGUUCUUGAGAAGGACACGUCACGCACCCCUCUUCAAGUGUGAAUGAAGUGGAAUUAGACAAAUGGUUUUUUCAAAAACUGGGAAGCAUGUAGACAUGUGCUUCAUAGGCAGGCAAAAGAACUACAUGAGUAAAAUGCCUGGAUUUUGGUCAGUAUCAUCCAGGAUGUCAGUGGCAGCAGAGCAAAGUUCCCCUUUUAUUAAACUGAAUGUGCACAUCUCCCUAUUUCAUGCGCAGAAAAAAGGGGCAGUGCGCUCUUCUUGCCUGUCUCCUCCUUGUAAGAGAUGACAUCCUAAGCCAGAGGAUUUUGAGUCCAUAGCUCCCUUGAUCAGCUCCCUUCUUUCUGCCAGUCCCCUCUCUCAUUAUAGUAUAUGGAGGUGGCUGUUAUUUUGUCUGCCGGGAUGAAAUAUACUUGGAGUUGAGUGUGGAUUUCAUGCUCUUUAUUCAGCUCAUAGUAGUGAGGAAUGAAAGUUCCCCCAAAAUAUCUGCUUUAUAUACAUUAUUUACACAAUGGGUCGCACGUGAUUGGCUUCUCCUAUAGGCCAAUCAGGUUGUGGAUUCACUUCCACCUGGAGCUGGAUUGGGUGGCUCCUGCGGACCAAUCAUACUGCUGCAUUGUUCUAGGACCAAUCAGACUGCUGCAUUCUGGACCCUAUUGUUCUAGGACCAAUCAGACUGCUGCAUUCUGGACCCUAUUGUUCUAGGACCAAUCAGACUGCUGCUUUUUGGAUCCUAUUCAACUCAGUACAUAACACGGGCGGGGGAUGCAUUUGUUUUAAAACUGAGGACUAGACUAAUGCCUUCACCCCAUUUUGCACACAUGGCUUUUAUUAUCUCUGGAAUUGCAAAUAUGGUUUUUCUUUUAUUAGUGGAGGUGGAUAUCUCCCUCCCUGAGCCCUGCUGGUAAAGUGAAUCAUCAUAAUCCAUGGCCUUGGCAGGCAGAUUAGUUGCAUGUAGCUUCUUUUCAGAGUGGAACAGUUGCUCUGUGUACCUGCUUGGGCUUGUAUUUUGGUUUCAGAUAUUGUGAAAUCGCCUUAAACCCUGAGAGGGCCUGACUUAGGCACCCUCCCAAACCAGCACGAUAAAUAAGUGAGGGGCGAAUCCUUUUGCAGGACAUGCCUCUCUUCUUGCAUGCUUUUUCCAAACAAGAGGACUCACUCAACCACCCUUCCUCUUUGAAGAACGCCUAAUGCCCCAGAAAAUACUCUAGUCAAGAUGUAAAAGUAUUUUUGUAUGCCACAACUGCAGCACGGAUUUUAAUAGCCCCAAAAUGGAAAACACAAGAAUUACCAACAGUAGAAGAAUGGCAGAUGAAGAUGAUGGAUUUUAUGGAGCUGGCUGAUCUCACUGGGAGAAUCUGCGACCAGAAAGAAGAGGAAUAUCAAGAAGAGUGGAAGGAAUUUAAAGACUAUUUGAAUAAAUAUUCUUAUAUUAAAGAUUUGUAAUUACUUGAAAGAACCAAUUAGGCCUAGGAUUAUAUUAGGAUUAAAUAAAUAAAUGAGAACUAGAAUGAUAAGAAAAUAUAGGAAAUUUGAUUAUAACCUGAAUAUUGUCUUUUUUAAAGGGAAUAAUGAUAUUGGAAACUGCUAUAUCCAAUUACAACGAAAUUCAGAUGGAAGAAAUUUGAAGAAGUCAAGUAAUAUGUUUAUGAAGUUGGAGUUUAACUGAUUAAUUAAGUUUUAUUGUAUUUGUGUAUGUGGUGUUAUUUUUGGGUAAUAUAUGAGAGGUUUGUAAUAUGUGAUCUCUUUUUCUUUUCUUUUAUUAUUGUUUUUUUAAUUUUUCUGUGUUUGUAUGAAAUUCAAUAAAUAUUAUUGGGGGGGGGGGAGAAAAUACUUUAGCCAAGAGCUUCAACAAGAACAGUUUCAUAGUUCAAGCAUCACUCUCAAUACCGGGGGGGGGGGGGGUUGGCUUCCUACCCUUCCUUUCCCCUUUAAAAAACUUAUUUUUUCUUCUGUAUUUGCGGGUCGGCUGGAUGCACUGCAAAGUGAGAUUCUGCAGACCCUCUAAGUGUCCUUAUUUUCCAGGAACAGGUCCAGAUUUACAGAAGCCAUCCCAGUUUCUGAUUUGAUCCUGGAAUGCCUCACUUUCCCUUAAGAAGUCCCUAUUUUCAUUGGAGAAAUGUUGGCAGGUCUAAUAAUAAUAAGAAUAAUAAUACAUUAUUUAUACCCCGCCCUCCCCAGCCAAGACCACGCUCAGGGCGGCUAACACCAGGUAUAAAAACAAUUGAUUAAAAUACAACUUAAAAACAAGAUUAAAAUGCAGCCUCAUUUCAGUAGAAACUCCAAUCAAAAACUUUUGGGGGAUGAAAACGUCAAAUCUUCACCAAGGCCAGCUAUCCAGACUGGUCCUAUGUGGGCCAGAAAAAAGCCAGGGAAGUCCCCAAAUACGAGUUCCAUCACAGAAGGAGAAAGGAGAAAGGAAAGAGAGGAAGGGAGGGGAUCAAGUUGAUUCCAAGCCAAAGGCCAGGUGGAACAACUCUGUCUUACAGGACCUGUAAUAUAGAGUUAUGCAUAUGUGGUGGACCUGUCCCAAGGUGAAAGACUUCUGGGAAAAGAUUUAUAAUGAAUUGAAAAAAAAAUGUUGAAAUAUACAUUUAUAAAGAAACCAGAGGCCUUUCUUCUUGGAAUAACAGGUUUGGAAUUGCCCAAGAAAGAUGUUAAAUUAUUUUUGUAUGUCACAACUGCUGCUCGUAUAUUGUUAGCUAAAAAGUGGAAAACCCAAGAAUUACCAACGAUAGAAGAAUGGCAGAUGAAGAUGAUGGAAUUUUCGGAGCUAGCCAACCUAACCAGAAAAGUCCGCGACCAGAAGGAGGAGGAGUAUCAGGAGAGUGGAACAAAUGUAAUGAUUAUCUAGUUAAAUUUAUUAAGUUAAAUUAACUGAAAACAGCUUGCAGAUACUUAAUUGGCUUAGGAUUUUAUUUAUGUUAAGUGAUGAAUUAAUAUUUCAUUUCACAUUUCAUAAUGUGAAGAUUUAAGCAUGUUAAUGUUUAAGUUAAAUUUUAUAAGAACUGUGAUUUGGAAAACCGUUAAAAGGAUAUGCAAUGAAAUUCAACCAAGGGGAAGCGAGGAAGUCACUUAAGAAAGUUAAUAAGUGUAAUUUUCAAUAAGGCUAUGAUUUAUGUUUGUUUGUCUUAUAUGUUUGUUUGUUUAUAAUGUUGUGAAAACCAAUAAAAAUUUUUUUUUUUAAAAAAGGAAUAUAGAGUUAUGCAACCCCUGAGUCAAGGAGAUAAGUUAACUAUUCAACUUUUAGAAGACAUCUGAAGGCAGCCCUGUGUAGGGAAGGCUUUUUUAUGCUUCAUAUUUUAUUACGUUUUUGUAUAUGUUGGAAGCCGCCCAGAGUGUCUGGGGCAUCCCAGUCAGAUGGGCAGGGUGCAAAUAAUAAAAUUAUUGUUAUUAUUGUUAUUCUUACUACUACUACUAUUAAUAUUACGGAACAAAACGUCCCAAUUUUCAUUAGAGAAAUGUUGGAGGGUAUGAGUUCUGGUGAGACUCCAACCACCCACCAUCUUAAUUUGCCAUAUAAAUUAGUAUGUGCACAUUUUAUGCAAAUUUGUGUCAUGAGCCUAAACCCUGAAUCUGCAGCAUUGAUGCAACCAAUUGUAUUUUUAAAUAUACAGUAUUACUGCCUCUCCUGGUAUGCCCCGCAGAGGACCUUAAGGUCCAUGAAUAAUCAUAGUUUAGAGGUCCUGGGCCCUAAGGAAGUCAGAUUAUCCUCCACCAGGGCCAGGGCCUUCUCAGUGGUGGCUCCAACCUGGUGGAAUGCUCUGUCCCAUGAGACCAGGGCCCUGCAGGAUUUAACUUCCUUCCGCAGGGCCUGUAAGACAGAGCUAUUCCGCCUGGCUUUCAAUUUGAACUUAGCCUGAUCUUUUAUUCCACUUCCUUCCCUCCCCCUCCCCUUUUGAUGAAGAUUACCCGCUCUGGGAUCCCACAGCUAAUUCUCCCCUGGUCUCCUCGCUGGCCCAAUUUAGCCAGCUAGCCCUGGUGAUCAUCUAAUGUUUAUUGGAUGGAUUUCCCCCUUAGAUUGAUUUUUGAUUUUUCAAUUUAUUUUUAUUCACAUUUUAUACUGCAUUUUAUGCUGUUUUUGUUGCAUCAAUUAAGUGUUUUAAAUUUAAAAUGUAAAAACUGCCCUGAGCCCGGUUUUCUGAACCUGGAAGGGUGGGGUAUAAAUAAUAAUAAUAAUAAUAAUUAUUAUUAUUAUUAUUAUUAUUAUUAUUAUUAUUUCUGCAUCUGGAUUACCCUGUUAGAGAUUUUACCACCCAAAAAAUGUGUUAGUUCUUAAGGUGCCACAAGACUCUUUGGGGUUUUUUUGAGGUGAGGUGGGGGGAUAGCUACUCCUCUGAAGCUUGUUAAAACAGUUUUUGUAACUCUAGGGAAGGCAACAAUGGUCAGUUGGGAUUGGGAAAACCUUGGGGCUUUUCUUCUCUGCCUGCAAUUUUUAAUGCCCUCCCCCAAUUUCUUUUCCUUUUUCACUGGCUAAUUUUGAGCUUCAUAUGAUCACUGCAAAUGGUGACAGCAGCCAUGAAAUUAAAAGACGCCUGCUUCUUGGGAGAAAAGCAAUGACAAACCUAGACAGCAUCUUAAAAAGCAGAGACAUCACCUUGCCAACAAAGGCCCGUAUAGUUAAAGCUAUGGUUUUCCCAGUAGUGAUGUAUGGAAGUGAGAGCUGGACCAUAAAGAAGGCUGAUCGCUGAAGAAUUUGUGCUUUUGAAUUAUGGUGCUGGAGGAGACUCUUGAGAGUCCCAUGGACUGCAAGAAGAUCAAACCUAUCCAUUCUGAAGGAAAUCAGCCCUGAGUGGUCACUGGAAGGACAGAUCCUGAAGCUGAGGCUCCAAUACUUUGGCCACCUCAUGAGAAGAGAAGACUCCCUGGAAAAGACCCUGAUGUUGGGAAAGAUGGAGGGCACAAGGAGAAGGGGACGACAGAGGACAAGAUGGUUGGAUAGUGUUCUUGAAGCUACCAGCAUGAGUCUGACCAAACUGCGGGAGGCAGUGGAAGACAGGAGUGCCUGGCGUGCUCUGGUCCAGGGGGUCAUGAAGAGUCGGACACGACUAAACGACUAAACAACAACAACAUGUUGGGACAAACUCAACAAGGCUUACUUUCCCCAUUCAGUUCUUCGGAUUGAACUGGCCUGAAAGCAUGGAUGAACAACUUGGACUCCCCCUGUCGUCGCCGUCGCGCCCCCCUUGGCACUCCAUGCCGCAAACAGUUGAAUGUUCAUUUACAGUAGAUGCUCUGUCUUAGUCUUAAUUUGCUUUUAAGCAGCUUCUUCAAAUAGCACAGUCAUUAUUCUCUUAGGUGCUUUACAAAAACACGAUCAAUUAGCUGGGCUCCCCUGUGGAUUUUCUCAGGGUUUUUAAUUUUUUUUUAAAAAAAACAAACAAAAAGCACUCAGCCUUUUAGGGAGGCUUUGACAUCUGCAAGAGCUCGAUGCUUCGGAGAGAGGAAAAAACCCCACGGAACAAAAUAUGGAACACUGGAAAUCAAAUCAUUUUCUGGUUAGGACAGCCAGGCCCAUUGUCCGUAUGGGUGGGCUCUUAGCACCUGCAGGCGAAACUGGCAGCCCUGCCCAGAUGAAGGACCAUUCAGAAGACUGACGUUAUGUUCCUCUCGGACAAAACUAGGUUUGUUUGAAAAUCUGCCCUCAGACACAGAGUUUGUCUCCUUGCUUAUACUUUUCAAACGGGAUGCAGUCAUUGGUUCAUUGUUUGCACCAAAUUUGCUUGCCGCUCCAUAAAGAAGCCACAGAUUUGCUGGGCUGCUCUUUUCUUCCCGAAUGGCCCAUGGCCAGUACAGUGGUACCUCAGGUUACAUACGCUUCAGGUUACAUAUGCUUCAGGCUACAGACUCCGCUAACCCAGAAAUAGUACCUCGGGUUAAGAACUUUGCUUCAGGAUGAGAACAGAAACCGCGCUCCAGUGGCGCGGCGGCAGCGGAAGGCCCCAUUAGCUAAAGUGGUGCUUCAGGUUAAGAACAGUUUCAGGUUAAGAACAGACCUCCAGAACGAAUUAAGUUCUUAACCCAAGGUACCACUGUAUUACUCUCGAGGUUUCAUAAACAGAAGAGGGAAAGGCAGGCACAGAUCCUCACACGUGUGUUUCAGGGGUUGAGAAAAGCCACAAUAGUCGUCAAUGUUCAACAGGAGCUAAGGAGGGAUGGCUUUAACGGCUUGGAAAAAGUAGGGAACUCUCGUCUCUACAAUCUGCCCAGCACUGCAAAGCAAGAGGUCUCCCAGACUCUAAAAUGGGUCAGCAAACUUUUUCAGAAGGGGGCCGGACUAUAUUUUGGGAAAAAAGAAAAGAACAAAUUCCUAUGCCCCACAAAUAACCCAGAGAUGCAUUUUAAAUAAAAGCACACAUUCUACUCAUGUAAAAACACACUGAUUCCUGGACCAUCCGCGGGCUGGAUUGAGAAGGUGAUUGGGCCCGAUCUGACCCCCCGGCCUUAGUUUGCCUACCCAUGCUCUAAAACCUCACUGUCUCAGAGCAAAAUUGUUGUCAUUCACUACUGGUCUGUUUCCAGGUGCAAUUCAAAGUGCUGGUUAUGACUGAUAAAGCCCCAUGCAGUCCAAGCUAUCUGAAAGGCCACCUUCUUUCAUAUGAACCUUCCUGGGUGGUGAGAUCUUUGGGUGAUGCCCUUCUCUUGGUCAUGCCACCUUGGUGAGGAUGUUAGAGAGGGCUAUCUCAGUGGUGGCUGCUUCCAGACAACUUCAGAACUCCCUCCCUGGAGAAUUUAAGCUACCGUAUUUUUCGCUCUAUAAGACGCACCCGACCAUAAGACGCACCUAAUUUUAGAGGAGAACAACAACAAAAAUAUUCUCUCCCUCUCCGUGUAGAGCCUCUCCAGCAAAGCGGCAGGAGAAACGGAGCCCCUUCCAUAUCUCCUCCCGCUUCGCUGAAGGGGCGCUGCGCAGCUCUCCCUCUCUGCGCAGCGCCUCCCCAGCAAAGUGGGAGGAGAAAUGGAAGGGGCUCCGUUUCUCCUGCUGCUUCACUGAAGGGGCGAUGCACAGAGAGGGAAAGCUGCGCAGUGCCUCUCCAGCGAAGCGAAGUCAGAACAGCAAGAGGGAUCGCUGCGCAGCGAAAGCACUGAUCCCUCUCGCUCUCCUGGCUUCAGGGAUAGCUGCGCAAAGCCUCUUCAGGGCAGGGGGAGCGUUCCUGGCUUCAGGGAUAGCCGCGCAGCCUGCAUUUGCUCCAUAAGACGCACACACAUUUCCCCUUACUUUUUAGGAGGGGACAAGUGCGUCUUAUAGAGCGAAAAAUACGGUAGUUCUCUCCUUGAGUAUCUGUCAGGAUAUAAAGGCAGGAUAUAAAUUAACAAUAACAAAAAUAGUGUCAGCAUAUUGUGCCCACUUAAACACACUGGGCAAAGUGUUGCUGGUAGUGUUUCUUCUAGGAACUGAAAUGGUGUGCUUGUUUUAAUUUUGGGGUGAGAUACCUCAUCUUUGACAAAUGUGAGCUCAGGCAAACGAGGGCAUUCAGAGAAUUCAGGAGUAGGUGUAUUUGUGUCUGUACAGACUUCCUCAGCUGCAGAGGAGGGUCUGGAUCUCAAACAGAAUCGUCCUUAUUCUAUUUUGGAGAAGCAGUUGCGAAGUUGCUCCAGUCACAUAAACUUGGGCUCUUUUACCUCCAUUCAUUUCUUUUGAGGUUCUUAGCAGUAAGAAAAUGGGGUGAGAUACUAAUCGAAAUGUAUUUUACAUGCAAAAUUUCUCAUGAACUGCGUAACACCGUGUGGGUGUAACUUAAGUAAUGUCAAUGUGUUAGCAUGUGUGUCAUUUAAACCUCUUUUUAAGACUGCCAUAUUUUCUUCUUGAGAAUUUAAUAAUUAUUACAGGAUCGGUCCUAUGCACAAGAAACUGGCUUAAAGCAAGCUGGUGUAAGAGGACACCAAAUCCAAACUCUCUUCAACAGCCGGGUCACUGCUCUUCCUAAGCUAGGUCCUGUGAGGGACCCCCUCUCUUGUUCUGCCAAUGCCACACCCAAAGAACACCCUCUUUCAAAUUCCUUAUCUAACUCAUGGAAUGGGAGAAUAUCUACUCCACUCUUCCAAAAUUUUCAAAUUAGAGUUGGGGACGCGGGUGGUGCUGUGGUCUAAACCACUGAGCCUCUUGUGCUUGCCAAUUGGAAGGUCAGUGGUUCGAAUUCCUACGAUGGAGUGAGCUCCCGUUGCUCUGCCCCAGCUCCUGCUGGUGUUCUGUUGUGCCAGAAGUGGUUUAGUCCUGCUGGCCACAUGACCCAGGAAACUGUCUGUGGACAAACGCUGGCUCCUUCGGCCUGAAAGCAAGAUCAUAGAAUCAUAGAAUCAUAGAGUUGGAAGAGACCACAAGGGCCAUCGAGUCCAACCCCCUGCCAAGCAGGAAACACCAUCAGAGCACUCCUGACAUAUGGUUGUCAAGCCUCUGCUUAAAGAUGAGCGCCGCAACCUCAUAGUUGCCUUUGACUGGACUUAACUGUCCAGAGGUCCUUUACCUUUUUACCUUUGUGACCUCCUCUCUGAUACGAAAUCUGGGGAAGUCAGGAAACAGAACAGAUAAAGGCAUAACUUCAGUAGUAAGAUUCCAUGACCUUUGGUUAAAUUUGGGUCAGAAUCAAGGAUACAUAUAGGAGAAAAUAGGUGCAAGAUUUGGAUCAGAGAAGUACCAGGGAACUAGGGAGGGGGGACUUGUAAUUGUGUUUCUUAUAAAUGAAAUUCUUAUGAUGGUUUUUAACAUGUUUAAAAGGUUGGCAGAUAGAUACGUUUGUGUACAGAUGGAGAUAAAAUCUGAUUAUUAUCCUGUUGCUGGAUAGACAUUCCCCGCAUAUAAAUAAAUGCAUUGGAACUUCAGAAAGAAGUUUGUACAAUAAAUUCAGCAUAUGCGCAUGUAUGCAUAACUACCUUUCUGUGUGUGUCAGGUGUCAAUUUUGCUCCAAUUUAUUUUGCAGAUUGAAUGGCUGGCCUUUGUAGAACAAAUCUGACGUGUGCAGAACAAGGAGCGUUAACAAAAAGUUGCAAAAACAACAACCCAAAACCAUAAUGAAAUAAUGAAUGCUGCGAAGAAGGGGAAGGGUGAAGCAUAUGGUCAGAGUUCAUAGGAAAGGGUUGCCACAUUUUUAAUUUUUUUUUUACAGCAUGAGAUUUCAAGGUCUACAAAGCAUGUAUUUCCACUCCUGUCAGUGCAAUAACACUCUCCCUUCGUGGGGUUUCAAGCAAAUGGUAUUCAGAAACAUACUGCCCCCAACAGUAAAGGCAGAGGAAAGUGAUCAUAGCUUGUAAUCACUGAAAGCCUUAUCCUCAGCGAAUUUAUCCAAAGUUAGAGGUGAUCCAUGCUCCCGGCGGGAACAAACACCGGGGUUUCAUCAUCAUCAUCAUCAUCAUCAUCAUUUAUUUAUACCCCGCCCAUUUGGCUGAGUUUCCCCUGCCACUCUGGGCAGCUUCCAAUCAAGUGUUAAAAACAAUACAGCAUUAAAUAUUAAAAACUUCCCUGAACAGGGCUGCCUUCAGAUGUCUUUUAAAGAGAAGAUAGCUGCUUAUUUCCUUCACAUCUGAAGGGAGGGCGUUCCACAGGGCGGGCGCCACCACCAAGAAGGCCCUCUGCCUGGUUCCCUGUAACCUCACUUUUCGCAGUGAGGGAACUGCCAGAAGGCCCUCGGCGCUGGAUCUCAGUGUCCGGGCUGAAUGAUGGGGGUGGAGACUCUCCUUCAGAAAUACAGGACCGAGGCCAUUUAGGGCUUUAAAGGUCAGCACCAAAACUUUGAAUUGUGCUCGGAAACGUACUAGGAGCCAAUGCAGAUCUCUCAGGACCGGUUUUAUGUGGUCUCAGCGGCCACUCCCAGUCACCAGUCUAGCUGCCGCAUUCUGGAUUAAUUGCAGUUUCCGGGUCGCCUUCAAAGGUAGCUCCACGUAGUCAAAGCGGGAGAUAACCAGAGCAUGCACCACUCCGGCGAGACAGUCUGCAGGCAGGUGGGUCUCAGCUUGCGUACCAGGUGGAGCUGGUAAACAGCCCCCCUGGAUACAGAAUUAACCUGCGCCUCCAUGGACACCUGUGAGUCUAAAAUGACUCCCAGGCUGCGCACCUGGUCCUUCAGGGACUAUGUGCUUUGUGAAGAAGUGCAUUCUUUUAUCUGUUCCGAAUCUUCAAAAAUUCAGCUUCACUGGAUGCCCUCAAGUGUUAGGAACACGAUCGCCAAGUGUCCCUAUUUUCCAGGGACAGUCCUGAAUUUACGAAAGCUGUCCCAGUUUCUGAUUUGAUCCCGGAAUGUCCCACUCUUCCUUAGGACGUCCCUAUUUUCAUCAGAGAAAUGUUGGGGGGUAUGGAGUUAUGCGACCCUCCUCGUCCCGAGCCAAGGUGAUAAGUAACUUUAUAAUGUUUAGAAGACAUCUGAAGGCAGCCCUGUCUAGGGAAGUUUUCUAAUGUUUUAAUUAUGUUUUUAUAUAUUCUAGAAGCCUCCCAGAAUGGCUGGAGCAACUCAGUCAGAUGGGUGGUUGUUGUUAUUGUUGUUGAAUAAAGGUAAAGGUAAAGGGACCCCUGACCAUUAGGUCCAGGAGCGGCCAACUCUGGGGUUGCGGCGCUCAUCUCGCUUUAUUGGCCGAGGGAGCCGGCGUACAGCUUCCGGGUCAUGUGGGCAGCAUGACUUAAGCCGCUUCUGGCAAACCUGAGCAGCGCACGGAAACGCUGUUUACCUUCCCGCCGGAGCAGUACCUAUUUAUCUACUUGCACUUUGAUGUGCUUUUGAACUGCUAGGUUGGCAGGAGCAGGGACCGAGCAACGGGAGCUCACCCUGUCGUGGGGAUUCGAACUGCUGACCUUCUGCUCGGCAAGUCCUAGGCUCUGUGGUUUAACCCACAGUGCCACCCGUGUCCCGCAACAGAAAGGGGGGAUACCAUAAAAGGCGACAAUAUUUACCCAGUACUUUAAGUUAAAAAGAAUUCAGUAGCUUUCCAUAGAAUCAUAGAAUUGUAGAGUUGGAAGGGACCACAAGGAUCAUCUAUCCCAACCUCUUUAUGUCCGAUGUAGGACUCAAACCCACCACCCUGAAAUUAAGAGUCUCAUGCUCCAGCUUUGGAUGCUCAUGUUUUUAAAACACAUUAUUUCCUAAGCAUUAUCUUUCAAAUACAAAUGUGGGCAACCUUGCCUAACCCUCUCAGUAUUAUAUAUAUAUUAAUUGUGUGUGUUUAAUGUUUAAUUUGUUUUUUCUGGCAAAAGCUUCUUUUGCACGAACCAUCAGCUUGUAUUUUGAAGCUGCCUAGUCUGUUCGCCACCGUCUCCUUUGCAUCAAAGCCAACGCAAAUAAAAGACAAAUGGUUCAGGGAACAAAACGGUUAGCUAGAAUAUUCCGUUUCCACUCCUGGAGAUUUUUCAGUCCCACGGCAGAAUCGCUGCACCUUGACGGGAGCUAAACAGAAUGAAGCAAUGUCAAAAGGUAGACGGCUGUUUGAUAAACCAGUUUGGCUGCACCUCUCCGGUCAAUGUCUCCACCUUGCCUGCCUGCUCUUGUUUUGUUGAGAUUAGAAGAGGUGAGUUUGUGGGGAGUAUCCAGCAAACGAAGCUCUGCUGUUGACUUCUCCCCGCCCAGGACUCCUGUUACUGGCUGCAAAGAGGGAGUAUUCCAGAGCUGCAUUUCAUAGCUGUGAGGUCAGUCGGUUUUCUUGGUAGAGCAAAGACUGAACCUUGAAACAAAAACAGAAGCCGCGAAACUGCUACAUAAGCAAACAGUGAGGAAUGAGCAAGUCAGCAUUCCAUCGCAGGGGGAUAACCUGAAGCCAUUAAGCAAACAAAUAAAACAACAGAGAGCAGAAAAGCAGCGUGCUGACCUUGGUUUAUAUCUUUGCAGUCACUCUCUUCGUUUGUUGAACCGCCGAUGGAGCUGGAGAGGCCUAUCAUAUCUCCUCUUUUCCAGGCUAAACAUAUCCAGCUCCUUCAACCAUUCCUCAUACGGCUUGCUUUCCAGACCCUUGAUCAUCUUGGUUGCUCUCCUUUUCAAGAGACUGGUGUCAUUGGGAUAGGGAUGUUUGGAUACAAUGGCUUUUCAGGUUGGCUGAAAUCUGUUGGGGUGCCCAGAAUGGAACACAGUAUUCCAGGCAUGGUCAGACCAAGGCAGAAUAGAGCAGUACUAUGACUUCCCUUAAGGGACGUGGGUGGCGCUGUGGUCUAAACCACAGAGCCUAGGACUUGCUGAUCAGAAGGUCGGCGGUUCAAAUCCCCAUGACGGGGUGAGCUCCCAUUGCUUGGUCCCUGCUCCUGCCAACCUAGCAGAUCAAAAGCACGCUCAAAAGUGCAAGUAUAUAAAUAGGUACUGCUCCGGCGGGAAGGUAAACGGCGUUUCCGUGUGCUGCUCUGGUUCGCUGCUCUGUUGAAUGGUUUCUUUAAAUGUAAAGGUUCAUCACUGUUCCACCCGAUGUGUAUGUCUUUAAGGGGCCAGAGCAAGGGCCAGAGCAAGAUAACGAGACCCAGCUUUACAGCUGUGAAACAUAGCAGGUGCUGCUGAGUUGUAUUGAUUAAGCUGUGUUGGCAAUUGGGUGUAGUAUAUAAGGAGCAGCACCUAGCUCUCCCAUUACCCUGGGGGAUGGGUUGGUGGUUGGGUCAUGUUUGUUUGUUAAUGUAUUUAGUGUAAAAGGAGUUUUUGUUUUUGUAAUUAAAACCUUGUUUAAGUUAUUUUUGAGUCCCUUUUUAAUGCAUGGUCUCCCCAGCAAGCUCUCUGCAGCGCUACUAUACUGCAAAUAGCCAACAGCUUAGUUAUGCUGUCCACAUCACCUGAAAGCUGUACGCCGGCUCCCUCAGCCAGUAAAGCGAGAUGAGCGCCGCAACCCCAGAGUCGUCUGCGACUGAACCUAAUGGUCAAGGGUCCCUUUGUUGUUGUUUAGUCAUUUAGUCUUGUCCAACUCUUCGUGACCCCAUGGACCAGAGCAUGCCAGGCACUCCUGUCUUCCACUGCCUCCCGCAGUUUGGUCAAGCUCAUGCUGGUAGCUUCGAGAACACUAUCCAACCAUCUCAUCCUCUGUUGUCCCCUUCUCCUUGUGCCCUCCAUCUUUCCCAACAUCAGGCUCUUUUCCAGGGAGUCUUCUCAUGAGGGGGCCAAAGUAUUGGAGUCUCAGCUUCAGGAUCUGUGAGCACUCAGGGCUGAUUUCCUUCAGAAUGGAUAGGUUUGAUCUUCUUGCAGUCCAUGGGACUCUCAAGAGUCUCCUCCAGCACCAUAAUUCAAAAGCAUCAAUUCAGCCUUCUUUAUGAAGAAGAAGAAGAAGAAGAAGAAGAAGAAGAAGAAGAGUUUGGAUUUGAUAUCCCGCCUUUCACUCCCUUUAAGGAGUCUCAAAGCGGCUAACAUUCUCCUUUCCCUUCCUCCCCCACAACAAACACUCUGUGAGGUGAGUGGGGCUGAGAGACUUCAAAGAAGUAUGACUGGCCCAAGGUCACCCAGCAGCUGCAUGUGGAGGAGCGGAGAAGCGAACCCGGUUCCCCAGAUUACGAGACUACCGCUCUUAACCACUACACCACACUGGCUCUCGCUCUCACUUCCAUACAGCACUACUGGGAAAACCAUAGCUUUAACUAUAUGGACCUUUGUUGGCAAGGUGAUGUCUCUGCUUUUUAAGAUGCUGUUUAGGUCUGUCCUUGCUUUUCUCCCAAGAAGUAGGCGUCUUUUAAUUUUGCGGCUGCUGUCACCAUCUGCAGUGGUCACGGACCCCAAGAAAGUAAAAUCUCUGACUGCCUCCAUUUCUUCCCCUUCUAUUUGCCAGGAGGUGAUGGGACCAGUGGCCAGGGGUCCCUUUACCUUUACCUUUAUGACUUCUCUUGAUCGGGACACUAGACUUCUGUUGAUGCAGCCUAGAAUAGCUUGUGGUCUACUAAAAUCCCUAGGUCUUUUUCACAUGUGCUACUGGUAAGCUAGGUGUCCCCCCAUCUGAUAUUUCUGCCGCUGGUUCUUCCUGCCUAAGUGCAGAACCUUACAUUUGUCCCUAUUGAAUUUUUGCUAGUUUGGGCCCAGUUCCAGAGUGGCUAGGGAAACCCAGCCAGAUGGGCGGGGUAUAAAUGAUAAAAUAUUAUUAUUAUUACUAUUAUUAUUAUUAUUAUUAUUAUUAUUAUUAUUAUUAUCAUCUUGAAUCCUGGUUCUGUCUUCUGCGGCAUUUGCUACCAUUCCCAGUUUGGUGUCACCUUCCAAUUGGAACCCCUCAAUUCCUUCAUCCAUAUCGUUUAUAAAGACGCUGAAGAACAAAGUGUGUUCUCCUUCAUGGAGAGCACAUGUUGCGGUGGGGGCUAACAAGACACUCACUGUUGCUGGGCGGGGAAAGAAUUGGCCACCAUUUCAUUGAAUUUGCUGUUGCUGGGGAGAUUUAAAUGUUGCCAUUUCGUGAUUGACAGCCAUAGCCUUUAAACACCCUGCUUGCAGCGUUGAGCUUCCUCUUUUUGCUGUGCGCACUGGAUCACCCUCCCUCCCUAUUUUCUGGUUGCUCGCUUGACCUUGCUAUGCCUGUCAUGGGGUCGUCUGCUUUGGGGCAGGGGCCUGGGAGGAAUUUUGUCCAAUUGGCUGAUUGCCUGGUGCCAUUUGGUUUUUGCCUACUGCGUAGCAAAUCGUCACAACUUGUAAGGUUGCGGUUAGGCAUUGGGUUAGGAGUUGGUUGGUGGAGGGGUAUGGAUUGGCUGUGCCUGCCCCUCCAAAAGUGCUGCUGCUGCAAGGGUUUUCCGUUAAAGGAACCCAGGGGCUUUUGUCCGAACCCCUGUCAAGGAACGCCAUGCUUUUGUCCGAACCCCUGUCAAGGGGCUAGGGCCACACAAGAGCCCCUGGGAGCAUUUGGGGAGAGGUGAGGCAUGGUUCCCAGUCCUGUCCGGGCGAAUGUCAGUCUGUCCCCAUGCGGGGUCAGAUAGUCGCAACCAAUGCCUAAGCAACCACUCACAUCACUUGUAAUUUCAAUAAAUUAUGCCCAAAACCUUAAAGCUAAAAUCUUGUGUCAACUGUGUUUUAUUGGGGGUGUCUUGGGGACCUCGACAUGCAACAGGUCUAGGACCGAACCCCAGAGAGCCCCACAUGUCACUUUUUUCCAGGAUGACGGGGAACCGUUAGGAAUGGGAGUCAUACAUGGCCUGGAGGAAUGACUGCAGAAAAUGGCGAAUAGUCAAGAAACAUAAUCUUAGGUUUAUUAUGAUUAAUGAGUGAUUGAUGGACUCUGUAAAUCCCCACCCCCAGAAAAGAAAGUAAUGCAGCAUAGAAUAGGUAGCAGAAUAGCACUUUUAAAUUAAGGAGGAACAGAGGGGGAGGGGAGGGUUUGAGGAACUUUCCAGUGUAUUUUCAAAUCCUGCCAGUACAAAGAAGGAUCUGUGAUUCUAGUUCAGCUAAGGAGACUGAAACACAUUAUGUCUCUACACAAAUUACAGCAUUUUAGCUGUGGUUGGUAAGAUUUGACUUCGGAUUCUGUACAAAAGCCAUGACCUAAAACCCACCCCGUAAACACAGUGGUCAGCAGAAGACUGUGUCAAGCUUUGCUUGCGUGACCACAGAUGCAAUUUAUGGAAACCCUAUGGAAGGAGCUAUAUUUAGUGUUUUGAAGGCGGCUCAGUUUUUGCACUCUACCCAACACACAGUGUUCUUGAUGACAGUAUUGGUGCUCCCCUGGCUAAAUUAUUAGAGCCGAUUCACCGCAGCCCAAAGCAGGUCCACAUGAUUCAUCCCACCUGUCCCCAGGGAUAAUUCACACUCGCCUUUUGCCUCACUUUUUCUUUCUUCUUUUUAAUAAAUUGUAUUAAGAAAAAUACAACGCGGGUGGCGCUGUGGGUUGAACCACAGAGCCUAGGACUUGCCAAUCAGAAGGUUGGCGGUUCGAAUCCCCGCGACAGGGUGAGCUCCUCUUGCUUAGUCCCUGCUCCUGCCAACCUAGCAGUUCGAAAGCACGUCAAAGUGCAAGUAGAUAAAUAGGUACCACCCUGGCGGGAAAGUAAACGGCGUUUCCGUGCGCUGCUCUGGUUUGCCAGAAGCGGCUUAGUCAUGCUGGCCACAUGACCCGGAAGCUGUACGCCAGCUCCCUCGGCCAAUAAAGCGAGAUGAUCGCCGCAACCCCAGAGUCGGUCAUGACUGGACCUAAUGGUCAGGGGUCCCUUUACCUUUAUUAAGAAAAAUGCAAAAGUUAUGGAAAACACAAGAAUUACCAAUGGCAGAAGAAUGGCAGAUGAAGAUGAUGGAGUUUAUGGAGCUCGCUGAUCUCACUGGGAGAAUCCAUGAUCAGAAAGAAGAGGAACACCAAGAAGACUGGAAGAAAUUUAAAGACCAUUUGAAUAAAUAUUGUAAUAUUAAAGAUAUGUAACCACUUGAAAGAAUCAAUUAGGCCUAGGAUUAAAUUGGGAUUAAAUAAAUAAAUAAGAAAAUGCACAAUAAGAAAAGUUAGUAAAUAUGAUUAUGACUGUGAUAGGGUUUUAUGAAAUAAUGAUAUUGGAAACUGCUAUAUAUAAUUAUUAAGAAAUUCAGAUGGAGGAGACUAGAGGAAGUCAAGUAAUAUGUUUAUGAAGAUGGAUUUUAAUUAAUUAAGUUUUAAUUUUUAUGUGGUGAUUUGAUGUAUUUUAUAUUUUAUACUAGGGACGCGGGUGGCGCUGUGGGUAAAACCUCAGUGCCUAGGACUUGCUGAUUGUAAGGUUGGCGGUUCGAAUCCCAGUGGCGGGGUGAGCUCCCGUCGUUCGGUCCCAGCUCCUGCUCAUCUAGCAGUUUGAAAGCACCCCUAAGUGCAAGUAGAUAAAUAGGUACCGCUUUACAGCGGGAAGGUAAACGGCGUUUCCGUGUGCUGCACUGGUGCUGGCUCGCCAGAGCAGCUUCGUCACGCUGGCUACGUGACCCGGAAGUGUCUUCGGAGGGCGCCGGCUCCCGGCCUCUUGAGCGAGAUGAGCGUGCAACCCUAGAGUCGGACACGACUGGCCCGUACGGGCAGGGGUACCGUUACCUUUAUGUUUUAUACUCUUUUUUUUCCCCGUUUUAUUCUUUUUCUUUCACUAUUGUUAAUUCUUUUUUUUUUUUUUGGUUAUGUUUAUGUAUGAAAAAAUAAUAAAUAUUAUUGUGGGGGGGGGAGAAAAAUACAAAAGUUGUUCAAUAAUUUUGCAAGAUCCUCUGUCUCCUUGGUGGCGAUACUAGAAAGCACGAGUUGGAUCUUGAAGGACAUUUCUGCAAAAUUCAGGCAAGCACAAAUGUUUGCAAAAGUAAGGCUUGCCAACGUCAAACGUUUUGAGGUGCCUUUCUGUUUGAACUUUCUUGCUUGCUUCAGAGAACACUCCUGCCAACAGCCCUCCUCCUCUUCCUCCUCCUCCUCCUCUGCAGAGAGUACAUAUACCUGGGUCUUUAACCUCCUUGUCAUCAGCCAGACUAAGAUCAACAGAAGUGUAAGACUCUGAUGAGACUAUUUGCUCAUGUAGUUCAAACAAACAGGGAUGAUGUAAAAGCAAGAGAAAACCAGGCACCCCGCAGAUCUUUUUCUGGAAAUUGAAAACAAACUACCAGACACAUGAUGCAGCCAAGAGAGGGUGAAGCUUUAGUACUACCAAAAAGAAAAUGGAGAAAAACACCAGCAGAGACCAAGCAAUUUGCAUUGCUGAAUGUGAAAACGUUGCAGUUGGCGGAUCACCUAUGUCAUUUUCUUUCUUUACACUUCUACACCACUUAAAAUAGAAAAGCAUCUCCAAGCAGCAUACAGAAAACUGAAGCAAAUCCGCUCCACUUCCCAGUGGGGAGGAGUUGCGGUGGACCGCGUGGCCACCCACUCCCCACCGGGGGCGGGGGACUCUGUCCCCCGUUGCCUGGGGGAUCCUGGCCAUGUCAGAGCCCGGCCAGCCAACCCGCUGGCCGGGGCCAUUUAAACGGAGGAGCGAGCCAGAGGACUUCCUCUUUGGCUCGCUUCCUCAAUCACCCGCCCUCCCUCCCUAUUUUGCAGGUUAGGCAAUGGCCUUGCUAUGGACUUUGGUUGGUCGCCUUGGUUGUCCGAGGGGCCUGGUAGGAAUUUUUCCACUUGGCAAAUUGGCACUGGCCACUUGGUUUUCGCCUACCUCGUAGCAAUCAUCACAACUUUGUUAGGGUUGCGGUUAGGCAUUGUUUGACCUUGUGUGGGGGAGGGGAGGUGUGGCCAUCACCUGCCCCUCCUUGCUUAAGGGUAUUCCGUUAAAGGAAUCCGGGGGUGUUGAUCUAGUCUGAAGCCCAUCUGGGGGGCUAGGGCCUUGACACGACCCCGAUGGGAACACCAGGGGGAGCUUGAGUUGAUUCGCAUCGACAGGGCUCCCCCUACCAGUGGCUUACCCUUACUGGACUUCCUGCACAAUGGGCAGGAGUCAGAUAUAGUCAGGUCCAAUCAAUGCCUAAGCCAAUACUACUCACAUUCUGUAAUUUCAAUAAAGUUGUGGCCAAAAUUUGCCCAAUAACAUAAACCUAAUAUCCGUGUCCUUGUGUUUCCAACGAGGGGGUGGCUGCGGGGUCUCAACACGCAACUGCGGGCAACUCAAACGACAAGUAUUACAAAAAUACAAACCAAAUUGUCACAUGAGUAUAACGUUACUAAUAAAUAUAAACCAGUAUCAAUUCAUUUUCCUUCUGACACAGGUUGUGCCUUAUCCCUUAUAUUUCCAGUAAAUCACUGCGGUAUGUGGGAGAGCUUCUCCUGCAAGCUGCAGGGAUCACAGAAGCCCUCUCUGUAGAAACUUGGAGCAAAGAUUUCAGGGUGGCUCCCCCAGUUUGGCAGAAUAGCAUUCCAGUUGAGAUGCAGCAGUUGAGAUGCCCACUAGCUGCCAGAUUAAUCCUGCCCGUUACAUGUCAGCUCAGCAAACGUUUUACAGUGACCUAAAUACUAUUUGGAAGUAGACACUGAGAAGCCUCAUGUCUAUUGCUAUAAGAAAAUCUAUUUCAAAUAUAUGAGUUGCUUUCAGCUAACUUUUACGCAGUGUACACCCACUGAAAUUAAUUAUGACGUGUAAGUUGGCAGGGGAUAUUAAAACAACAUUUCAAGAUGUUCGACAACAGAAACAGAACAAUAAUAAAUUCAUUACGAAAGCAGUAAGAGUAGACAAGUGGAAAGUCCUUGUAAAUAAGAAGUCAUAAUUCUCUGGUGGGAAGUUUUCGUGACUAAUGGUUUUCCCAAGCAGACUAUUCCAUUGCAGAAAGCCACAAGACAGAAGACCCUUCAGCUGACUGCCUUUAAUUCAAAGAAAGGACACAGAGGUGUCCUAACAUCUACCUGUAAACAAUAUAAUUUCAGCGUUGGUGGGGGAAUGCGGGCGAGGCCAAUUACAGCAGUGAAACUCAGUUCUUUUUGCAUAAACCCACCUCUCAUGCUCAAACUAACACUUGUCUGAGAAGGGUGGGUCUGUAACAUUCGAGGCCUUUCUCUCACGGUCUCCCUUCUUUCUCAAUAAAGAUCUGGAAAACCAUUCCAUUUUAUAUAUAAGCAGUCAGCCUCUGAAAAAAGACAAAUCAGCCCCGUCCGUGUGAAUUCCAAUAGCUUUCUGAUGGUUCAAAUCCAAAUUUCACAGCUAUUCAAGAGUUCUUUUGUGUAGCCAGUCCUUGUCUCGGUGUUUAGCACAACUCAAUCCAUUUUCCCUGGCUCCCUCCCUCCACCGUCUUCAUUUACAUUUCUAGGGAGAUGAGAAAGAGGAAAAAAAGCUUGCUGCUUCUCUUCCUGGGGGGCCUUGAACUGGUGUGCUCUAGCCAAGGCUCCUAUUGUCCUUGUUGCUCUAACUGCAGGCUCCCUCUACUAUAGGACUACUCAAUUGGAAUUUAAAUACUCCAGGACUGUUGUCUCAGAGAAUAGGGAAGCGCUGCAUUAAAGAGUAAAUUACAGCAGAGAAGUAACCGGCUUACACAAAAUGGACAGGCAGACAAGCACAUUAUAAGAUUUCCAAAGAUUCUUCCAGGUUUGGAAUGAUACCACAACAAAAAAUAACCCUUAACUACAUAGAUUCUGUUCAGCACCCACAGUUUUGAUCUUGGCUAAUAAAGAACAGAAAAGGAAACUUGUUGGGAGAAGAAGGUCAAACAAGAGAGAACAGUUUGAGAUAUCGAUUUCUUUUUGUGUAGCACCCCCUUAGCUAAAAAAACAAAGUUGUCGCAAGUUCUUCAGAAUGUCCCAUUGAUAGUAUUUCCUUCUACUGAUAUUUCCCAAUAAUGUGCUCUUUUUGAGACUGAAGCAACUUCUGUAUCAGUGCGUUCUUGUGGUUUUCGAUCUGUAUUUGUGGGAGCAGCCUUAUUUAAAAUGGAGCCCGACAACGCCUUGCAGGCCUGGGUGAAUACAAGGCUCUUAAACAUCAGUCCUUACUUUGAAUUCCAUCGCUUGGCCUGGCUUGUCUCACAACCUUUUAACAUGCAUUGAAAGUAGCUUAUUAUCGAGAAAGAAAAGAGCUUCGCUCUUCAGAAACUGCCUUCAGAAACUGACACACAGUCAAUUCCUGGAAGGGAAAUUUUUCAAAUACAUUUAAAAACAGUCAAGCAAAUCCAGGCUAUGCUUCUGCCUCUUUAUAAGAACAAAAUGUGCCAGUUUUGAUUUCCUGCAGCUCAGUUUGCCCACAAUGAAGAAGAAUGGCUCCAGCACUGGCACCACAUGCUAUUAUUCUGAAACUUGUGGAAUGGAGGGCUUUCUUCCCAAACCCCGCUGCCUUGAUUUGAUUAACACACAAGUAUCUCUACCAUCAAAAUUAUUCUUCAUUAUUAGAAUAAAUAAAUAAUUGCACUCAUUAGGUUUUAUUCCUGCUGGAAAAUGCAGAUAACCUGUGGGCAUCCCAGACAGAUUUGUUUUGGCUUGUAUUUUUUAUAUCUUGUUUUCCACAAAACAAGGCUUGUGUAUUCUGAAUGCUGCAAGCCUCAACAGUACCUUGUGGCGGUGUUCUACAUACUUCUUCCUAAAACAGUCGUUUGAUUCACUUGCCAUUAUUUAGGAACUAAUUUUUUUUUUAAAAAAAUACUGUACUCUUAAAUAUAUUUGGAAGGGAAAAGGCUGCUACUCAAGCCAUUUGCGCUACUCUUGGCCCCAAGAACAUUGGCAGCUGAAAUCUUCAUAUAUAUAUAAUUUUUUAUUGAUUUUAACAUAUAAAUUAUAAAAUGUACCACAAAACUUAUCACUCAUACAAUCUUUUUAGACUUCCGUCAGCACCUCUGAUGAUCCACCGUUUUAACCAUUUCUUAGGCAUUUCUUAACUUUGUAUUGCCUUUAAAUCUUUUAACAAAUCAUCCUUCCCCUUAUCCAUUUUUUGCACUAAUUCCAAUAAUACUCCUCACAAAACUUCUUGCAACCCUACAAACGUCGUCUGUUCUUCACAAUUACUUUUCAAAUAGUCCGUAAAUUUACUCCAGUCUUCCGUGAAUUUCUGGUCCCGCCGGUUCCGAAUCCUUCCUGUUAGUUUAUCUAGUUCUGCAUAGUCCAUUAACUUCAUCCUCCAUUCUUCAAUCGUCGGUAAUUCUUCUUGCUUCCAUUUCUGGGCCAGUAAUAUUCUUGCUGCUGUUGCUGCAUAUAAAAAGAGCUUACAUUCCUUUCUAUUUAUACCACUCCCAACAAUGCCCAGUAAAAAUGCUUCUGAAAUCUUCUGUUGGGGUGGGGAGUGACACUGGCCUUUGGCCUUCAGAUUUGGGGGACAGCAGGAGUCUUCUCAAUGCAUCAGAAUCAAAACAGCAGCUGCCGUGUAUCACCUCUCUGCCACAGUGCACAUUCUGUUCCUUUUCUGCAACCCCAGUGGGAAGAGAAUCUUAGACAGUAGGAAAACUAAGGGCCAAAAUAGACAUGAUGGCAGCAGGUACAUCACAGCGAAAGAGGAGAGUGCGGGUGUCAGAUCUUACUAGUAAGAGGCGGGCAAGGAGCACUCCCAAUACCAUAUUUUUUGCUCUAUAAGACUCACUUUUUCCCUCCUAAAAAGUAAGGGGAAAUGUGUGUACGUCUUAUGGAGCGAAUGCAGGCUGCGCAGCUAUUCCAGAAGCCAGAACAGCAAGAGGGAUUGCUGCUUUCACUGUGCAGAGAUCCCUCUUGCUGUUCUGGCUUCUGAGAUUCAGAAUUUUUUUUUUCUUGUUUUCCUCCUCCAAAAACUAGGUGCGUCUUGUGGUCUGGUGCGUCUUAUAGAGUGAAAAAUACGGUACUUACUGGCGGAGGAAGCGGAGGGCGGGGAGAGCGCACCGCCCCUGGGACCACAAUCCUGGUGGGGAGGCAUCACGGCUGCCCCCCCCUGCGCUGGGCACCACGCCCCCACAGGUGGCGCACCACGCCCCCGGCACGCACACCAGCCACGCCACGCCUGCUCUUAGUACUACUGCUACUAAUUAAUUGAUUGAUUAAUUAAACCCUGCCCAUCUGGCUGGGUUUCCCUUGCCACUCUCGGCGGCUCCCAACAGAAUAUUAAAAACACGAUAAAAUAUCAAACAUUAGAAAAUUCCCUAGACAGGGCUGCCUUCAGAUGUCUUCUAAAAGUCAGAUAGUUGUUUAUUUCCUUGACAUCUGGUGGGAGGGCGUUCCACAGGGCGGGCACCACCACCGAGAAGUCCCUCUGCCUGGUUCCCUGUAACUUGGCUACUCGCAGUGAGGGAACAGCCAGAAGGCCCUCAGAGCUGAACGAUGGGGGUGGAGAUGCUCUUUCAGGUAUACUGGGCUGAGGCCGUUUAGGGCUUCAAAGGUCCUAAACACACACAAACACACACACACACACACACACACACACACACACACACAGAGAGAGAGAGAGAGACAGACAGAAGUCUUCAAAUGAUUUGACCCUUCACCACCUUUUCUGCUUGUCUUCUUAUAAUUUUCAGACUUGCAGACGUUCAUGGAGAAAUCUAGAAGAAUGUGAUCCAUUCCCUAAACUUAAGCCAGGACAGACAAAGAGCUUGGGAGUGAUUAGAGAAAGCAUGUUCUUAGCCAUUUCAUAUGGGCAAGACAAUUAGCUCAUUCUCUGCCACUUACUUAGAGAGAUUGAUUAUCAAGAUGAUUUUUCUUUUCUUGCUAGAAUGCCAAAGUCUAUUUUCCUAGAGCAAAAGCAUUAUUAACCACAAAAAGAAUUUUGUGUUGCAUAAUGAGCACAGGGAAGCAAUUUUACCUAAGAUAAUGAACACCUGAGAUAAGGAAGCAAUUCUCUGACAGGUGGCAGUUGACAUAAGUCUAUAUUUCAGUCAACUUUAUGUUAGGCUUUAGAUGUGCCUGGAAUUUAAAUGUAAUGUUUUGGUAAACAUUUCAUAGAAUCAUAGAAUUGUAGAGCUGGAAGCAGGGCUAAAUUGCUAGAAAAAGAGGUGUCAGAACUCAUCAUGAACUCCUCCCUUGUUCUCUUAUACAGUGGUACCUCUGGAUGUGAACGGGAUCCAUUCCGGAGCCCUGCUCGCAUCCAGAAGCGAAUGCAACCCGCGCCCCCACUUCUGCGCGUAUGCGGUUCGUGAUUUGCCGCUUCCGUGCAUGCGUGUAACGUCAUUUUGACCGUCUGCACAUGUGCGAGCGGUGACACCCGGAAGUAACGUGCUCCGUUACUUCUGGGUCGCCGCAGCGCGCAUGUUAUGUACUGAGUUGAAUAGGAUCCAAAAUGCAGCAGUCUGAUUGGUCCUAGAACAAUAGGAUUCAGAAUGCAGCAGUCUGAUUGGUCCUAGAACAAUGCAGCAGUAUGAUUGGUCCACAGGAGCCACCCAAUCCAGCUCCAGAUGGAAGUGAAUCCACAACCUGAUUGGCCUACAGGAGAAUCCCGGAAUUAGCCAAUCACAUGCAGCCCAUUAUGUAAAUAAUGUAUAUAAAGCAGAUACUUUGAGGGGACUUUCAUUCCUCCUAACCACUAUGAGCUGAAUAUAAAGCAUGAAAUCCACUCUCGACUCUGAGUAUAUUUCAGUUUACUUACUAAAUGGGCUGCGAGGAGGGCAUCUGUUUGUAUUUUCAGCGCAACCUGAAAAUACUUAUCCCGAAGCUACUUCAAGCCGAGGUAUGACUGUAAUGGCAAUGGUGCCCAGUUGAGAGGUGCCAGAACUGAGUUCUAGCAAAUUUCAGCUGAAAAAAAGCCCUUUUUGGCCCACUGAGGGCCAUUUGGUCCAACCAUCUGCAAUGCAGGAAUCUCAACAACCAGUUUAUGCCUUUGUAGCAACAUUCUCCCUGAUUCAGCAAGGGAGGUUUGCAUGUAGAAACUGCUUCCAUAAACAGAUUAUUCAUUUGGACCAGGAGCCCCACAUGUAGUUCAGAUCUGAUGGUCAGGCCAUUCAUGGAGGUACACACUGGUCCCCAAGCGAGCAGGGGGCAAUAGACUCUCAGCUUUUAUUUUAAAAAGGCGGGUCAACUGGACAUUUAUGAAGAAAGUUAGAAAACAAAAUGUGUAGGCAGUGUGUUUUAGGGCAGAAACGAGAAGCUGCUGUUCCUAAGGAUACUUAAUCACUUAAUCAGUUUUGCUAAGCAAGCAGAGCCUUCUUUAUGGUCUGAUCGCCGAAGAAUUGAUGCUUUUGAAUUCUAGUGCUGGAGGAGACUCUUGAGAGUCACAUGGACUGCAAGAAGAUCAAACAUGUCCAUUCUGAAGGAAAUCAGCCCUGAGUGCUCACUGGAAGGACAGAUCCUGAAGCUGAGACUCCAAUAGUUUGGCCACCUCAGGAGAAGAGAAGACUCCCGGGAAAAGACCCUGAUGUUGGGAAAGAUGGAGGGCACAGGGAGACAGGGAUGACAGAGGACGAGAUGGUUGGACAGUGUUCUCGAAGCUACCAGCAUGAGUUUGACCAAACUGCGGGAGGCAGUGGAAGACAGAAGUGCCUGGCGUGCUCUGGUCCAUGGGGUCCCAAAGAGUCGGACACGACUAAACGACUAAACAACAACAAAGCAAUCAGAGAAAGGAAUGCUGAUCACCCCCACCUAGAACUCAGGAGUGGCAGCAGGAAAAAACAAGCAGAAGUAGCUCAUUGUUUGUGUUAUUCCCAGACACUGUCAUCUGACCCAUGCUAACUAUACUCCAUACAUUGUCAUUAUUACCCUACUUUGAUAGAGGCAGAUUCAAUUUCAUAAGCAUGGACAUAUUUUUGAUAUUUUUGGAGAAGUAUUUAUCCUUGCUGUCCAAGUAUGGACGUCUGAAAGCCAUCUGAGCCCUGGUGACUUUCCCAUUGAUACCAUAAUCACGUUGAGGUUUAGAAUAUCUGUGGUAAAUGUUUUUGGCUGUACUACUGGUGCUGUAAUAAGAUCCUAGCUUUGGAAUAGGGCAACCUUUAGCGAAACAGCUUUGGCAGAAAUAUCCCGAGGAAUUUUAGUGGCUGAAAACUGGUAGAAAACAUGGCUAAGGUGAACCAAUAAUAUCCAGGAAAAACAACCAUAAAUUAUGACAGGGGAUGGGAUGGGUUGGUUUUCCUUCCUCCAUUUGAAAUAACUGCAACGAGAGAGAAAAUAUUCUGCUGUUUCAGAGAACAAAUAAGGUUAUACUGGCUGUUCGCAUUGGUACAAUUCUUCCAUCAGAUUAAGUAUUUCUGCUUGUCCGAUAGCAUGAUCUCUGCUCAUCCCCAUGCAGUGUUCUGGGGCUUCUAUGCUCAAGCAAAUUUGUGUGGCACCCAGGGAAGGAGUGGAGUACCGUAUUUUUCGCUCUAUAGGACACACCUUUUCCCUCCUAAAAAGCAAGGGAAUACCCCCGCCUCCUAGAAAAGCCAGCAGAAGCCACGCAGCCCCUUUAAAGAGCGCACGGCUUCUGUGGGAGGUGGGCGAAUUCCCCCACCUCGUAGAAAAGCCCGCAGGAGCCGCACACCCUUUAAAGAGUGCGCUGCUCUUGGGGACUUUUCCCCGAGGAGGGACAAGGGACUGACUGGCCGCGUCAGUCCUUUCUCCCUCCUUGUAGAAAAGCCUGCAGGAGCUGUGUGCUCCUUAAAGGGUGCGUGGCUCCUGUGGGCUUUUGCGGGAGAUAAGGGAAUUCCCCCACCUCCUGCAAAAGCAGGGAGAAGGUCUGGGAGAAGCGCACAGUCUGCCUGCAGCCUGUCCGCUGCUCCCAGAGCUGGGGUGGGGAUCAUAUUCCCCCCCCCCCUCUGAAAACUAGGUGUGCCCUAUGGUCAGGUGCGCCCUAUGGAGCGAAAAAUACGGUAUAUGCUACUGGGACUCAUUGCACUGGCUUCUGCUAGCACAACUGUUUCAUUGAAUCCAGCCCUACCUCACAAGCAUUACCUGCCUCACAGAGUAUCAGGCUGCACACAGGCAUUCUAAUGUGCUAAGGAAAGGGAAAUAGACAAAACACCAACAUUCUUUCGAGAAACACAAAGAGAGGUUUAAACCCAAAUCCAAUUGCCAGAAAUUAAGGACAUGGAUAUGUUGACAUAUUGAUGUUGCUACACUCUCACUUUUUAGGACUGGAAGAGAUUUUCUGCCUGAAACCCUGGGGAGUUACUGUUGAUCAGGGCAGACAGGGCUGAGCUGGAUAAUGUUACUAGACAUAGGGCACCUUACUGUGUUAUGAUGGCUAUUUGCUGUGCUUUGUACACAGGGGGACACAUACAGUGGUGCCCCGCAAGACGAAUGCCUCGCAAGACGAAAAACGCGCAAGAUGAAAGAGUUUUCCGUUUUUUGAGUCGUUCCGCAAGACGAAUUUCCCUAUGGGCUUGCUUCGCAAGACGAAACCUCUUGCAAGUUCUUGCGAGUUUGUUUCCUUUUUCUUAAAGCCGCUAAGCCGCUAAGCCGUUAAUAGCCGUUAAUAGCCGCUAAGCCGCUAAGCUGCUAAUAGCCGUGCUUCGCAAGACGAAAAAACCGCAAGACGAAGAGACUCGCGGAACGGAUUAAUUUCGUCUUGCGAGGCACCACUGUACCCCUAAACAUUUUGGGAAUCUUUGUACUUUUGUCCAUUUAAUGUAUUUAUUUUCCCCGAUUUGAACUACAAAAUGGUGAUUUUCUCGAGUCAAAAUGAGAGUACAGUGGUACCUUGGGUUACAUACGCUUCAGGUUACAUACGCUUCAGGUUACACACUCCGCUAACCCAGAAAUAGUACCUCGGGUUAAGAACUUUGCUUCAGGAUAAGAACAGAAAUUGUGCUCCGGCGGUGCGGCAGCAGCAGGAGGCCCCAUUAGCUAAAGUGGGGCUUCAGGUUAAGAACAGUUUCAGGUUAAGAACAGACCUCCAGAAUGAAUUAAGUACUUAACCUGAGGUAACACUGUACCCCAAACAUUUCUCCCCCUGAAAAAAAAGCACUGGCUAUUUGUGUCUGGAGACAUGAGGCAGAAUACAGUGGUACCUCGGGUUAAGAACUUAAUUCGUUCUGGAGGUCCGUUCUUAACCUGAAACUGUUCUUAACGUGAGGUACCACUUUAGCUAAUGGGGCCUCCCGCCGCCGCUGUGCGAUUUCUGUUCUCAUCCUGAAGCAAAGUUCUUAACUCAAGGUACAAUUUCUGGGUUAGCGGAGUCUGUAACCUGAAGCAUCUGUAACCUGAAGCAUCUGUAACCCGAGGUGCCACUGUACUUAGAAGGCAGCCUUACCCAACCUGCUUUGGAUUACAAGUCCCAUCAGACCCAGGCAGUAUGGCCAAUGGUACGAAAUUAUGGGACUUGUAGUCCAACAACAUCAUUAGGGCACCAGGUUAGGAAGGCUGCUAUAAGGUUUCUGAAAAGCAAGCGAUGGUAAUCCUCUCUUCCAAUAUUGGUUCUGAAGCCAGUCUGUUUGUGCCACCUGUUUUGUUGUUGUUGUUGUUGUUUUACUACAAUUACCACCACCACAUUUAUUCUUUGUGCACUCAGCAUUCUCUAGACCUGAAGGCCGGUGUGAUGCUAUCUCAGAUAUGUGUUCUUUGUCUGGAGUUUAACAAUAUAUUUGGCAGUGCUGGCAGAGAAUAAUUUUUUAUUUGUGAACAUCAAUAUUUGAUUAACUUCAUGAGUAAGAAAUGUUGGAGUAGAAGUUUUUGAUUCGGUUUUCUGAUAACCAACCAGCCACAAGACACACACACACACACACACACACACACACACACCCCACACACUCCAACACCCUCUAAUUCAUAGACAACACACCAUCUUCUAAUUGCAAUGAUCUCCACAAAACUAUAGAUGGGAUCAACAGUAAUUCUCAGGAAGUUUCACUGCCGGAUGGCUUGCAUCCCAGUGGAAAAUACGAGGCCGCAGAUUUGCAGGGUUAAUCCCUAUUCCGGUUUCAAUUGGAGUUCAAAUAGCUGAACAGAAGAAGCUAAAAGUCAGAGAAUAAUCGUGAUGACAGGCACAUCCAUUCUUUCAUGACAGGAAAAGUCAAGAGAGCUUAGGGCUUCAUAUAUUCUCUCUAGCUAUUGUAGUCUUGUCAUAUCCUGCCGGAGCAUUUUAAUAAUGGUGGUCAGCAGUUUCAUUGCUAUCCGUUGCCAUGUGACAAGGCUCAAAAAAUCCUGCAAUCAACAAAGGCCAGCAUCAGCUUUGCAGGGGCCCGACAUGGGGCCCCUCAAUGUAUCUGAGUCUACUCCCUGUCCCCAUUGUGUGGGAUUGCUGGGCACAGCAACAGCAGAAGAGUGCUGCCUGGUGGGUGACUUUCCGCCACUCCACUGCCCACUGGGAAAGGGGGAGAGGGAUGACUGGAGAGGUGAGAGUAUCACAGGCCGCAAUUCUUCUCUCUGUUACUCACUGCCGCUGCUUCUGCUACUGCCACCCACCUGGAAUAGCACAGGUGGUGCCUUCAAAGGAGGCUGAAGUUCCUUUGUUUCAGACUGGAGAGUUGGCACGUCUCCCUGCUUAUUUAACUUAUAUGCAGAAUUCAUCAUGCGAAAGGCCGGGCUGGAUGAAUCCCAAACAGGAAUUAAGAUUGCCGCAAGAAAUAUUAACAACCUCAGAUAUGCAGAUGACACAACCUUGAUGGCAGAAAGUGAGGAGGAAUUAAAGAGCUUUUUAAUGAGGGUGAAAGAGGAGAGCGCAAAAUAUGGUUUGAAGCUCAACAUAAAAAAAAUGAAGAUCUUGGCCACUGGGCCCAUCACCUCCUGGCAAAUAGAAGGGGAAGAAAUGGAGGCAGUGAGAGAUUUUACUUUCUUGGGCUCCAUGAUCACUGCAUAUGGUGACAGCAGUCACGAAAUUAAAAGACGCCUGAUUCUUGGGAGAAAAGCAAUGAGAAACCUAGACAGCAUCUUAAAAAGCAGAGACAUCACCUUGCCAACAAAGGUCCGUAUAGUUAAAGCUAUGGUUUUCCCAGUAGUGAUGUAUGGAAGUGAGAGCUGGACCACAAAGAAGGCUGAUCGCCAAAGAAUUGAUGCUUUUGAAUUCUGGUGCUGGAGGAGACUCUUGAGAGUCCCAUGGACUGCAAGAAGAUCAGACCUAUCCAUUCUUAAGGAAAUCAGCCCUGAGUGCUCACUGGAAGGACAGUGAAGCUGAGGCUCCAAUACUUUGGCCACCUCAUGCGAAGACUCCCUGGAAAAGACCCUGAUGCUGGGAAAGAUGGAGGGCACAAGGAGAAGGGGACGACAGAGGAUGAGAUGGCUGGAUAGUGUUCUCGAAGCUACCAGCAUGAGUUUGACCAUACAGUGGUGCCCCGCAAGACGAAUGCCUCGCAAGACGGAAAAACCGCUAGACGAAAGGGUUUUCCGUUUUGGAGGUGCUUCGCAGGACGAAUUCCCCUAUGGGCUUGCUUCGCAAGACGAAAAUGUCUUGCGAGUCUUGAGAUUUUUUUUUCGCUUUUCCCCCCCUUUAUCUAAUCUGCUAAGCCUUUAAUAGCCUUUAAUAGCCUUUUAGCAGCUAAUCCCCUAAGCCUUUAAGCCUUUAAUAGCCGCUAAACCGCUAAUAGCGCUAAUAGCGCUAAUCCGUCAAUGGGCUUGCUUCGCAAGACGAAAAAACCGCUAGACGAAGACUCUCGCGGAACGGAUUAAUUUCGUCUUGCGAGGCACCACUGUACUGCGGGAGGCAGUGGAAGACAGGAGUGCCUGGUGUGCUCUGGUCCAGGGGAUCACGAAGAGUCGGACACGACUAAACAACUAAACAACAACAACAUCAUGAUCACUGCUCUCUGUUUCAUACUUUUGAGUUUUGUACAGCAUGUUCCCAAAAACUGUCAAUCUAAAAUACAAGGCCUAUAUUGGUCCAUUUUGGCAAGUUGUUUGUAAGUACAAUGGUGCCUUGGUUUACAACCAUAAUCCGUUCCGGAGGUCCGUUUGUAAACCAAAACAGGUUGUAACCCAAGGCACGUUUUCGCCAAUGGGGCCUCCCAAAAAAAUCUGUUCAUAAUCCAAAAAAAACGGGUCCAAAAAAAGGUUGCAAACCGGGAAACGCACUUCCGGGUUUGAUGUGUUUGUAAUCCAAAAUGUAUGCAAACCAAGACAUAUGCAAACCAAGGUACCACUGUACUACUCACCUCCCUCCACAAAAAAGAGGUCUGGGGAUAUUUCUUACCCCUCAAAAGAAAGUCCCAAAUUUUUUAGCACCAGUCUUCAUUAGAAAGAAAGAUUCAUCUGAGAAACGUGAGAAAACUGGAUGUUUCAGGGAAGCGGGGUGGAAAUUAUCUCAUGUAUACAGGAAAUGAUUGGUUAUUAUAUAAGAAGGUUAUUAUACAAGGUCUUUUGGGUUAUCUAGAGGAGAUGUGUGACCAGAACACUGUAAUUUAGUUGUACGAUCGAGUAUUCCAAAAAGAUUGGAGUAAAUUUAUACAAUACUUGAAAGAGCAUUGUAAGCAAUUAGCAACAUCAGUAGGGUUAUCUGAAGACAUGUAAUGAGAUUUUCUAUAUUUAUUUUAACUGUGAGGUAUUUUGUAAUGAGUUCUAUUAGAGCUGGAAAACAUAUAUAAAAUGCUGUGAUAUAAAGUUUAGUUUUGAAAGCCAAGAGGCGGGAGGGAAGGAAGUUGACAGGCUCUAAGGAGCCAAAGAAGUAAAAUGGAUAAUAAUGAUGUGAUUAUACAGGGUAAAAAAGAGGCCUCGUGAAACGUAGGUACUCUGUAUCCACGGGCCUCUUUUAAAGGACUUACCCUGUAUAUAAUAAUAAUAAUAAUAAUAAUAAUAAUAAUAAUAAUAAUAGUAAAUUUUAUUUAUACCCUGCCCUCUCCGGCCAGAGCCGGGCUCAGGACAGCUAUCACCAGUAAAAUUACAGUAAACACAUAAUAGGAAAAGGAAAAAAACCAAUUUAAAAUACAGGUUAAAAUGCCAUUUAAAAUGCAGCCUCAUUUUAAAAGUAGCCCAUAGAUCAAAACCGUAAGGGGAGGGAAACAUAAGGGUCAGACCGAGUCCAAACCAAAGGCCAGGCGGAAUAGCUCUGUCUUGCAGGCCCUGCAGAAAGAUGUCAAGUCCUGCAGGGCCCUAGUCUCUUGUGACAGAGCGUUCCACCAAGUCAGGGCCAGUACUGAAAAGGCCCUGGCCCUAGCUGAGACCAAUCUAACCACCUUGCGACUUGGGACCUCCAAAGUGUUGUCAUUUGUGGACCUUAAGGUCCUCUGCAGGGCAUACCAGGAGAGGCGGUAAAUGGAAAAUUAAUAAGAAAUUAUUUUAAAACAACCACCACCACACUACCUACCAGUUAGCUCUAGGGAGGGGCCCGGGCAGACAGCACUCACUUCUUGGGCUUCAUGACAACUCCAGUGGUGCAAUCGCAGAGUGGAUGAGCCCCCUUCCACACCCCCUUCCGUUAUAAAGCUGCACAGCUUCCGCCUUGGGUUGGAGAGGCUGGGUUAGCAGAUGAGAGGAAAACAGGGGAUCCCCUCAGGUGGCCAGGGCAAGGAUUUGGGGGCACGGGGUGGGUGGGGGUGGAAGGACAUCACUGGCAACCCUGAAUGCAGGUGCCUAGGCGCUGGACAGCUCCCCAGGCACAAUGCCUAGGCAGGGAGCUGUCCAGUGGAAAAAGAAAAUCUGAACCAUGCCUGACCCUGGCAGCAACAACUCACUUGCCUCUCCAUCUGCAACACCUCAUGCCACCUGGACUUGGCACCACUUGGCUCACAAGUAUGACCUGAGCUCAUUCAUCCUCCUGGUCUACCUGCUCGACGAACAGGAGUGUUGAUGGCCAAGCUGUGCCUCUGUGCCCUCACCCUGACCAACCCGGAGUGCUGCCAGUUCUUCUGUCUGGACUGACGUGCUCUGCCUGAUGCUUGUGCCCCAACUGGAAGGCCCCCCCUCCAUGCCCAGAAGAACAUCUCUGUGGUCCAGAAGAUGCUUCUGGGCUUGAACUACCUGGCCACAGGGGACUUCCCCUGGCAUGUGGGCUCACUCAGACCCCCAGCUCUCUGCCUAAAGGUGCCUAUCUGCCUAUCUGGAAGCCAUAGGGCAUGGGUAGGCAAACUAAGGCCCGGGGGCCGGAUCCGGCCCAAUCGCCUUCUAAAUCUGGCCUGUGGACAGUUCGGGAAUCAGAGUGUUUUUACAUGAGUAGAUUGUGUUACAGUGGUGCCUCGCAAGACGAAAUUAAUCCGUUCCGCAAGAGUCUUCGUCUAGCGGUUUUUUCGUCUUGCGAAGCAAGCCCAUUGACGGAUUAGCGCUAUUAGCGCUAUUAGCGGUUUAGCGGCUAUUAAAGGCUUAAAGGCUUAGGGGAUUAGCUGCUAAAAGGCUAUUAAAGGCUAUUAAAGGCUUAGCAGAUUAGAUAAAGGGGAAAAGCGAAAAAAAUCUCAAGACUCGCAAGGUAUUUUCGUCUUGCAGAAGCAAGCCCAUAGGGAAUUCGUCCUGCGAAGCAACUUCAAAACGGAAAACCCUUUCGUCUAGCGGUUUUUCCGUCUUGCGAGGCAUUCGUCUUGCGGGGCACCACUGUAUUUUAUUUAAAAUGCAUCUCUGGGUUAUUUGUGGGGCCUGCCUGGUGUUUUUACCUGAGUAGAAUGUGUGCUUUUCUUUAAAAUGCAUCUCUGGGUUAUUUGUGGGGCAUGGGAAUUUGUUCAUUUUUCUUCUUCAAAAUAUAAUCCGGCCCCCCCACAAGGUCUGAGGGACAGUGGACUGGCCCCCUGCUGAAAAAGUUUGCUGACCCCUGCCAUAGGGACUCACAUGCAGGAGUGUAGAUUUUUUCAGUUGGUUGUCUUGAAUAGGGUUGUUUUGUAAGAACAAAACAAAAGUGCAGGGGGAGUUGGCACUUGAAUCUCUGUGUUUCUUGAAAGACCUACUUUGGCUCCCAGUACGUUUCCAAGCACAAUUCAAAGUGUUGGUGCUGACCUUUAAAGCCCUAAACGGCCUCAGUCCAGUAUACCUGAAAGAGCGUCUCCACCUCCAUCGUUCUGCCUGGACACUGAGGUCCAUCACCGAGGGCCUUCUGGCGGUUCCCUCGCUGGAAGAAGCCAAGUUACAGGGAACCAGGUGGAGGGCCUUCUCAGUAGUGGCACCCACCCUGUGGAACGUCCUCCCACCGGAUAUCAAAGAGAACAACAACUACCAGACUUUUAGAAGACAUCUGAAGGCAGCCCUGUUUAGGGAAGCUUUUAACGUUCGAUGUAUUACAGUAUUUUAAUGUUUUUUUGGAAGCCCAGCCAGAUGGGCGGGAUAUAAAUAAUAAUAAUAAAUAAUAAUAAUAAUAAUAAUAAUAAUAAUAAUAAUAAUAAUCUGGGGUGCAGACAUUAUGGGAGUGUAACUGGGAAUAUAGUGUUAUAUUAACAGCUGGCAAUGGUGGGACAGAAAGGGGUAUCUAUCUGCUAAGCAAAAGCCCUUGAGGCCUCAACUCGUUUCUUCCAAUUUGCACUGUAGCCCAAGCCUUCCCAGUUGCCUGUUCUCCUUCAAAGUGUGUUUGUUUAAUAUCGGACAUGUUUAUAUACGUUAAUAGUUUGCUAUAGAGAUCUGUCAGCCCAAACUGACAAAACCACAAACGAAAAGACUUUGCUGGUUGAAAUUAAAUGGCCACUUUGCUUUCGCACACAAAGGCGGACAGCCCUCCAGAGCUGCUUAAAUUAUGGCUGAAAUGUCUUUUAUAAACAUGCUUGGCACCUUUCAGGAGAUUAACAGAGAUAACCAUUUGCCAAGUGGCAACUUGCCGCGAUUGAGCUUAUAACCCUCGGAACGGUAUUCAGGGGACACCUUUUCGUAUUCUGAAACUUCCUGAGAGGCGAGGCAUUGGGGAUGAGUGCAACACAGCUACCCUCUCCUAACCCCCUUUCGGUCAAACUCCAACACAUGAAGUCCUCAAGGAGGUUCCCUCCCUGUGCACUGUGGAAUCCUGGAAAAACCAAAGUUAUAAAGCGAGCUUUCAGCAGCUUCACCACAUUGCCCCCUGCAAGUUUGAGGGUGGUGGAAAUGACAACAAGGGAAGAAAGACGCAGCACAUUUGCCCCCACUGAUUUGUUUGCAAAAUACUAAGAGGGAGUGCCUGGAGAUGGCUUUGGUUUUCAUAUAAAUAUAUAUUUAUAUGAACCAAACUCUCUCAAGGCUUAUUACAUAGAAGCUGUUUAAAAGUACACCUUCAACAAUAAAACAUAAGGGAGAAUAAAGAGUCAUUAAAGCAGCUGCAAGAAGAUCAAACCUCUCCAUUCUGAAGGAAAUCAGCCCUGAGUGCUCACUGGAAGGACAGAUCGUGAAGCUGAGGCUCCAGUACUUUGGCCACCUCAUGAGAAGAGAAGACUCCCGGAAAAGACCCUGAUGUUGGGAAAGAUGGAGGGCACAAGGAGAAGGGGACGACAGAGGACGAGAUGGUUGGACAGUGUUCUCGAAGCUACCAGCAUGAGUUUGACCAAACUGUGGGAGGCAGUGGAAGACAGGAGUGCCUGGCGUGCUCUGGUCCAUGGGGUCACGAAGAGUCGGACACGACUAAACAACAACAAAAGCAAAGUAGAAUAUAAAAAAUGCAAUACAAACAAAAACCCCUUUCCAAAUAAGAACGGCUGGGGAAAUUGUGGGAGACGUUUUAAAUCAAUCUUCAUGAAUCUCCACAUGCGCUUGAUAUGUGUUAAUAAAAUAUGGAGCCCAGUAGUGUUUUUUAAAAAGAACUUUCUGUCACAGGGUGAUGCAGAACUUGGCCUCGCUGCUGGCACUGGGUGCCACACAGUGGGGGCUGGCACUUACCGCGGGGCCUGCAGCGUCUCUCCUCGGAGUGACAUGGUGGCUUGGGGGCCUGCAGGCUCCAUGCUGUCUGCAACGGCAGCGUGGGACUUGCGCCUGCCCUCCACGUCUCCCUCAGCCACCCUACAGCUGAGGGGAGGUGGCGGAGAGGCUCCACGCCACGUGCCCCGCCCCCAUGGGUGGCUCGCCCCAACCCCGGCUGCAGGGCACACAUUCCGCACUCGGCACCCAAACGGCUAACUAUGCCACUGAGAAGAGCUUUGCUGAAUCCUAGAACAGAAUCCUGUUCUCACAGUGGCCAGCUAGACGCCUACAGGAAACCCCCAAAACAACAACAAAUCUCUGGUUACGUGAAGCAUAUUCAAUAAACACACAAGACGUAACAGGCUGUAUACUAUUCAUAUAUAUACUAUUCAUUAUAUUGAAUUGUAGAUUUCAGCAGAAGUAGCUCAUAAAGUUCAACGAAAAAAGUAGAAGACCCAGUGGAUCAGUUCAUUCUCUAAUCAGUUUAUGCAUAAAGUCCAUAUAUGUGAAAGUGUCUGUUCCACCUGUCUGUUCAUAGAGUCCAACAAUCCACGCAAAAGUUCCACAGAAUCCUUUCACAGCGUCUAAGACAAAGAUUUCCAGAAUAUUAGUCUUGUUUCGCCGUCUUGGGCUUCAUCAGUAGUACAAACUCUAGGUAAUGCAAAUAAAUACAAUAUUGUAAUCUCACACAUUUUUACAGCAAAAAUAAUAUAAAAACCGUAAACAACUGUACAUACCAUAUAUGAUGGAGGCCAUUGUGGGUUAGUAGUGAGGUGAGUUGAGUAUUAGAGAGAGGUGGUGGUGGUGGUUGGAGAUGAUAAGGAGAGGUGUUCAUUUGAUUGUUAUUUUGAUUGUUAUUUGAUUUAUUACUUUUAUUUGAUUCAUUUGAUUUUAUUUAUUUUUAUUUUAUUAUUUUACUUUUUUAUUUUAACACUUAUUUUACUUUUUUAUUUUACUUUCUGGUUCUUUAUAUUCAUAUUUUUUAUUUUACAUUUUUAUUUUGUGCACAUGUAUAUAUUUUGUAUAUUUUUAUUUUGUGCAUAGAGGAGUAGUUAGGGGUAAGUGUAGGGUUAAGGCGGGGGGUAGGCUUAGGCUUAGGGUGGGGUUGGGGUCAGAGUUAGGCUUGGGUGGGCAUUUUAGAUAGUUAGCUAGUUUAGAGAGGAGGGUGGGAAUUUUUUGUGAACAAAAUGUGCAGCUCGGCUCAGGGGGCUCCGAACCCUGAAGUGCUCCAAGCAGGAGACGGCCAAAGCUAUUAUGGUGAGUGAUGGGUGAGUGAGGGACCCCCAUGGGGAGGGAGGGGCAGAGAGGGGCUUUGGGCAUUUGCCGGAGAGGAGGACCCUUCUGGCUUAGGGGUUGCCAAUCCCCUGGAAAGACAGGUCUGGCGUUUGGGGUCAGAGCCGUCCUCUGGAGACCCCCCAGAAGGAGCUGACUUUCCUCCUCUGCUCUCUUCCAGCGAAUCUUUGGCCACUUGGAGCGCUUCAGGGAUUGCCCCCUGAGCCUGGCCUUGGCCUUGGAGGCCCUCCUCCAGCUGAGGUGAGUGGCGUCUUUGGGGUGGGCGGGGUUGCGGGGUUGGGGACAGAACUCCAGGGGGAGCUCCGGGUGGGCAAGAGCAGGCAGGAGGGAGAAGGGGGCAAGGGAGGAGGCAGCGUCUAACCCCUUCCAGCUUCAUGAGACCCCAUUUCAGCUGUGAUAUGGUCAGCGCUAUCCUGCAUAGGACACUGGAAGCUGUUUUUGGGGGUGCAGAAAAGGAGGAGGACAAAGAGCUAUGUCCUCUGCUUUGACAUCCCUUUGCACAUCUCUUUCUUCUUCUUACACCCUUGCAAGAUUUAACCCAGCACUCAACUUCUCUCCUCUAUUUUCCUGGAGGAACUGAAGUGGCACUUCCAGAGCCUGCUGGGAGGGGGGGGGUCUCCUCCUGGAAGCCCCCAAUGCUGGCACCCUCCUCCAGCUGCUCACUGUAAGGGUCCUGAUGGCAUCAGGAGUGGGUUUAGGCUUGCCCCCCAUCCCUUACCCAACAGACUGUCCCAUUUCUGAGGCACCAAGUCUCCUGUCCCGUUUGGCCCCCAAUUUGGCCCAAGACCAAAACUGGCAACCCUCAUGGUUCAGGAGUGCCAGGGACUCCAUGAUGGAGGCAGUGGAGGGCCGCUUUGGCCCAGACUGGCCCCUGACUCUGAGACGCUCUCUCUUCCCGCAGGACCUCCGAUAUUACGCCCUUUGGGGAAGUGAGGCAGAAAGGAAACUAGCGGCCAUCAGCGUUUCUCUGCUGAUGGCUGUUUCACAAAGAUUCUCCCACCUCAGAGUAAGUAUCUUGCCUUCCUGUAUUCAUUUCUUUGGUUGUUUCCAUCCCCCCAAGAGCCCAUCUCCCAGCGACUUUUAAUGCAGAAGAUGUGGUGUGUGUCCCUGGGUGCCAGGAUGAGGCCAGAGGCUUUUUCUGCUCCCUUUCCUGGCGCUGUCCUUCCACCUCUGCCCAGGGAGGUCCUCUGAGGCAAAGGAUUGUGCCCAAGCCAUAGGGAGAUCUGUCCUGCCUGGCGUGGGGCUGCUUCUGCGCUCUCUUGCACCCAUCCAGGGUGGGGUUCGUAGUGUCAUCUGACCCAGACUUUUCUUUCCUCUGCAGAACACAGUAAUUCGUCCGGAGCGGGCCUGUUUCCGGCAAAAUCUGAAAGAAGGUAAGCCCCACACCUUGGGGACAGCAAAUUCCCUUGUCCCUUGUUUGCCCAAGACACACCUCCCAGGUCUUCCUGCUGGGAGUCCUGCAGUACCUGCUCCAUGCCUGGCAGGCCUUUCCCAUGAAGGCAGGUCCACACCAUACACGUAAAACAUGGCGCGUACAUCCACCCACCCCAAGUCCUGGAAAUUGUAGUUUGUUAAGGACGCGGGUGGCACUGUGGGUUAAACCACAGAGCCUAGGGCUUGCCGAUCAGAAGGUCGGCGGUUCGAAUCCCCAUGAUGGGGUGAGCUCCCGUUGCUCAGUCCCUGCUCCUGCCAACCUAGCAGUUCGAAAGCACGUCAAAGUGCAAGUAGAUAAAUAGGUACGGCUCCGGUGGGAAGGUAAGCGGCGUUUCCGUGCACUGCUCUGGUUCGCCAGAUGCGGCUUAGUCAUGCUGGCCACAUGAUUCGGAAGCUGUACGCUGGCUCCCUCGGCCAAUAAAGCAAGAUGAGCGCCGUAAUCCCAGAGUCGGCCACGACUGGACCUAAUGGUCAGGGGUCCCUUUACUUUUACCUUAAGGAUGCUGGCAAUUGUGGCUCUGUGAGGGGAAAACAGUUCUCAGGAUCCUUUGGGGGAAGUAAUGUACUUUGGAUGUGUUUUAAAUACAUGGUGUGGAUCUGGCAUAAAAGUUUUAGGACAGCACAAUAUGAGACUGUAGCAGCGGUGGAGGAAGCCUCUUGGGCACCUGGGGCAGCGUGCCCAGGGGCAGGACGAACCACCCAUAGGGGUGGAGCAGGGCACACGGCGCCCAUAGGGAUGGAAUGGGGCGCUCAGCCUCCCAUGCCGUCCCUAUGGGUGCCACAGCACGCCCCAUCCCUAUGGGCACCGUGGUGCGUUCCGUCCCUAUGGAUGCUGUGCACCCUGUGACCUGUGAUCCCAUGCUGUCCCUAUGGGCGUCGCAUGCCAUGGGGAGUGUGGUGCCCAAAGGGACGAGAUGGGGGUGCGGUGCCCAUACAGGAUGGGGCGCCCGGUGCCCAAAGGGACAGGGCGCACAGUGGGGCAUCAGCUGCCCUACAGCUGGGGGGGAGCAGUGGGCAGACAGGGUAGCCUGCGGCGCCGAGACACAUGGUGAUGAGUGCUGCCCACCAUUUUGUCACCCCCUGUCAGAGUGACACAUGGGGUGGGGCAGGCCACCCCACCCCCACCCCUUCCUACGCCCCUGCUGACAGGCUCUCCCAGCUGGAUAAACAGGUCUUUACCACAAGUGCCUACUUUGCUAGAGUUUUAGUAUUGCUUAUUUGCUGUUUUGGUUUUUUAAACCGGUUUUAAUCACCUUACGCGUAAAUCACCUUGAGAUGGUUAACAACAACAAUUAUAUCAGCUACAUUAGGCAAGAGCUGCUUCUGUGAUUAAAAAUGUGUUUUAUGGCUUUCUUUGACAUCUGGAAGGAACUUCAACUGCCCUGAGUUCUGACCUGCUGAUCCUGAGAAUAAGCCACUGAAGUACGAUUUUUGGUCUCUAUAAACUUAUUCCUUUGGUGCCAGAUGCAAACAUGGAUCUUUUGACUGAUUAAUACGGAAAUCAUUUUUAAUCAGAAGACAUUUGGGAGGUAUUUUCCCAAGGCUAGUUCUUGUUCGGUAGAAACAUUUCAUAUUCCUCUUGCUUCGAAAGGGAGUUAAAGAGACAUUUAGAUUUCUUUGGAAGGGAGACGUGUAUUUCUGGUCUUAAAAGCAGUGCUACUGCCACCCAUGCCUGAAGGAGAAACUUUGACACGCAAGGAGUACCCGCAUGGCCUAUUUCCCAUCUUCCCACUCAACAUCUUCAGCUGCACAUCAGCAGAUGUGAUCACUCUCAGCGUGGGCUGUGAGAGCGCCAAGGGCAAGUUUGAUUCCAUAGUCAAAACCUGAGCAUGAAGGCAGAGUACGAACUUGCCCUCUGAGGUGCUUACCCUACACUGAGAUGCUUUUAAGCUCAGCUACCUGCCAGAUAAUUUUAAUUAUAUCCUGCUUACCCUAAGGUAAAAUACUUUUGUCAAGUUAAGAGCAAUUUCCUUGUAUGAUCUUGAGAUGAAACUCACCUCGAAAGUGUAUGUUGGGAAUGAGUCAAACAGUUAUAGUGGGUGAUUGAUUACAAGCAGCCAUUGGCCUAGUAGCAAUUUACCAGUAAAGGUAAAGAGACCCCUGACCAUUAGGUCCAGUCGUGGCCGACUCUGGGGUUGUGGCGCUCAUCUCGCUUUAUUGGCCAAGGGAGCUGGCGUUUGUCCACAGACAGCUUCUGGGUCAUGUGGCCAGCAUGACUAAGCUGCUUCUGGAGAACCAGAGCAGCGCACGGAAACGCCGUUUACCUUCCCGCUGGAGCGGUUCCUAUUUACUUACUUGCACUUUGACGUGCUUUCGAACUGCUAGGUUGGCAGGAGCAGGGACCGAGCAACGGGAGCUCACCCCGUUGCGGGGAUUCGAACAGCCAACCUUCUGAUCGGCAAGUCCUAUGCUCUGUGGUUUAACCCACAGCGCCACCCGCGUUCCUAAUUUACCAGUAGAUAGCUGGUAAUCGUUUGCCCAUCUGCGGAUGAGAACAUCACCGCACAGACACAGCCAAUCAGAAAUCCAGGGAAACGGGUUGUGGGCAAAUGAUCCUUGCUACCUGUGCCUUCCUCUUAGCACGUUUCUCCCUUUAGUCCUGAGUUCGAGUGUCUUCAAAGCCCAGGACACCUUUGGUAAAGGCUGUUCUCCAACUGGAGUGCUCACAGGCAAGUGUUUCCCAAUUGUUGGUGUUUAUACUACAUUUUUAAAAAUUUGCCUUUAAACUUCUUUUGUUGACCACCAGCAUUACGCUUUCCAUUUUUAAGUUCAGAAUAGAGUACAGUGGUACCUUGGGUUAAGUACCGUAUUUUUUGCACCAUUACACUCACUUUUCUCCUCCUAGAAAGUAAGGGGAAAUGUCUGUGCGUGUUAUGGAGCGAAUGCCUACGGAUGGCGGGGGGAUCUGCUGCAGUCGUGAGCAGAGGAUCCAUGGUUCCCCUUCCUUCCCUCCUCCGUGGCUCGCUUUGAAACAGCAAAGCAGAAGAAGAGCCUCUGAGUGGGGAGGAGAGAGGGACAGAGAGCCUGCUUGCUUUAAAGGAGCAAAGUGGGAGAGGAGAGGAGCCGCUUACACGAGUGUUGGCUCGUUUAAAGCAAGCAGGCUCUCUGUCCCUCUCUCCUCCCCACUCAGCUGGCUAAAUAGCAGCAAAGUUUUUCAGCGAGCCGGGAAGGAGGGAGAGAAGCAGAGCCUGCUUGCUUCUCCUCUUAUACCCCUCUUCUGCAUUAUUAACAGCAUCCUUCUCCACCCACCCCAUGCGUGUUCCUUGUCCCUUGAGUGCUUUUCCUUCCCUCCCCACUUAAAACAUGGUUACAAAGCAUGGAUCCACAUGGAUCCUCAAGAUUUUUGCAGUGGGUCACCCCAAAUUCACCAUCAGAUCACAUAGCAUGUCCAUGGCUACAGCUUGCACCAAAAAAAUCACGCACCCACUGUUGCCUGGGGCCGCAGUGGUGCAAAAACGUGGUUACAAAGCAUGGAUCCACAUGGAUCCUCAGGAUUUUGCAUUGGGCUACCUCAAACUCACCGUCAGAUCACAUGUCUGUGGCCACAGCAUGAACCACAAAAAUCAUACAUCCACUGUUUCGUUUAGAAUAUUUUUUUUCUUGUUUUCCCCCUCUAAAAACCAUGUGCGUGUUAUGGUCGGGUGCGUGUUAUAGAGUGAAAAAUACGGUACUUAAUUCGUUCCAGAGAUCUGUUCUUAACCUGAAACUGUUCUUAACCUGAAGCACCACUUUAGCUAAUGGGGCCUCCUGCUGCAGCCGUGCCGUCGGAGCAUGAUUUCUUUUCUCAUCCUGAAGCAAAGUUCUUAACCCGAGGUACUGUUUCUGGGUUAGUGGAGUCUGUAACCUGAAGCGUAUGUAACCUGAAGUGUAUGUAACCUGAGGUACCACUGUAGUUGCUUUGGAAGAUGAUCAUCAGGCAUCUGCACAACAUGACCAGUCCAACGAAGUUGAUGUUGAAGAAUCAUCGCUUUGACACAGGUGAUGUUUGCUUCUUCUAGUACACUGACAUUAGUUCGCCUGUCUUCCCAAGUGAUGUGUAAAAAUUUUGUUCAGGUUGUGGAUGCCUUCCAUAUGUACUACUGGCAAGUUGGGUGUCCCCCAUAUUAUAUUGGUGCAGCUGAUUCUUCUUGCCUAAGUGCUGAACCUUACAUUUGGAGUCCUUAUUGAAAUUCAUGUUGUUAGUUUUGGCUUAGUUCUCCAAUCCGUUAAGGUCAUCUUGAACCCUGAUUCUUUAUUCUAAGUAUUAGUUAUCCUUUGGUGUCAUCUACAAAUUUGAUGAGCAUCCCCACAAUUCCUUUGAGGAGUUGAGCAGGGGCAGGUCACUCAUAAGGGACAGUAAAUGGAUAAGAGAUGGGAUUUACAAGGUUGCCUGAGGCUUGGAUGAGAUGAAGGAUUUUGUGCCUCUCUCACAUCCAGAAAUGCCAUGCAUGAAAUUUCCUCUAUUUGCAUUAUCAAUAAACCCCCUGUCCCCUCCCCCAGUCUUCUGUUGGGCUCUUGAAUGAGGCUGAGGCAACCAUUUAUUAAAAUUCACUUGUUAGACUAAGAAUGCAGCCUGCUUCUAUAAACCGUUGGAGCAACAAGGUCUCCUGGUUCUCACAUUACAUACCAUGCACGACAGAGUCUCACAUUAGCAAGGCCCAAUUAAACCAAGCCGUUGAUUAAACAAGCCAAUGAGAGUAAUUAGCUUAAUUAGAUUCUUUCCAUAAUGGCGCUGGACUAUUGUAGAGAGGCAGCGAAAGAAUAAAGCGAAUCAAACUUUUCUUCUUCUCCUCCUUCUCCCGAAGUAAUUAGAAUUGGCUGGUGCAAUUUUUUAACUCACAGGUCUGAAUAGUGGCUCAGGGCAUUGGGGUGGGGGAGAGAAUGAUUAAUGAAGGUGAGGAUAUGGAAAGCAAACAAAAAGAAUGGAAUGUAUCUCAAAUGAAUGAAGAGGAGGCAGCUUUGGUAAGAAACAGCAUCUUAUAUCCUGCAGCGGUUGCUAAAGUGUCUGUCUCAAGUACGCAGCCGCGACACUGCUUCCUUCGGAAGAGGGGAUGUCGCCCCCCUCACCUUUAUUCUUACAUUGUUUUCUAUUCAGGUGUAAAUUCAGUUCUGUUAAAAGAAGCCCCCCCCCUUCAGGAGCACAUACAAGCUCAAAGAUCUGGUCUGUGCAUGCACUAAAAGUGUUUUCACAUCUAUCAGUGUAUUCUACGAUACAAAAAGAUAACCUUUAUUGCCGUUGUCCCAUACAGAACAUCGGAAUUGAAAAAUCUACAUAAAACAUUCAAAACCCAACAAGCCUGCUAUCCCAGCCUGGCUAGCCCCCUAAAAACUCUGAUACCCCAUUUUUAAAUACAAUAUACUCCCAUAGAGACUACCUUACACUGCGUUUAAAACCAAAAUCACAUUUGGGUAGAAACUGUUUCUCAGGCGGCUAGUCUUUAUAACCCUGUACCUUCUUCCAGAAGGCAGAAGCUGAAAGAGAUCAUUUCCAGGGUGUGCACUAUCCUGCUCUAUAUCUGCAGCUUUCUUAUGGCACCUGGCAGCAUAGAUUUGAUCCAAGGUGGGAAGAGUGCACCCAAUUAUUCUCUCAGCAGUCUUUACAACCCUGGAUUUUGUUUUUUCCCCUGACCAUGCAACUCCCAAACCACACACACAAUUAAACCAUACCUUCCAGUUUCAACAACAGCUUUUUCAGUAAUCUUUGUCUGGGGCUUGUAAACUGCAUGAGUGGCUCAGAGCGCCUUUUGCCAGGUGAAGCGGCUGUACCAAAUGCAAUCCCUCCUGCUGAGAGAUUGCCAGGCCCCAGUUGGCAAGUUCCUGGUAACCUUUGGGAUUGACUACUCACAGUGCUUUAUGUGGAGAUGCUCUGGACAACCGUUGAGGAUCACCUAAGUGCAGCAGCCAGCUAGUAGAAACCAUAUAGCUGCUUAAAAAUCCUAACUGGUUUUUGGUCCAUUUCUGAGCACAAUUCAGAUGAAACACUAGUACACAGAAAAACAACUAAUGGACUUUUAGAAAACAUCUGAAGGCAACCCUGUUGUGGCGAUCACACAGGGUCCCCGGACGUUUGACGGUCUGUUGAUCCCUGUGCCACCACUGUGAUUGCUUCCCCGCUGCCACCAACCCGUUUCUCUCGGGUACACACAGAGUCCAGACAGUUGUUAACAUUAACAAAUAAUCAAGUUUAUUUUAUAGGCAUGAACUAGUUUAUGGUUUCAGUUAAUUUUUCUUGGCAGUUUUUCAAUCUUAGUUUCAUUACUGACCUAUACAUUCCUAACAACUUCAAACUGGUUAUCCCAACUAUCUGUCUCUGACUCCACCUAACAGUUCCUCUCACUCUCUCACAACACAACUCGACCAACCCACAGACAUAUCCUCCCUCUUCCUUCUCCAACUCCCAACUCUCAACUGACUUCCACACAACUCCAACUCUAACUCCUCCCCUUGGGUUCCCACUGGCCAAUCACUUCACACUCAUUUAACCCUUUCCUUAUGACCCACCUAGGAGGCAAACGCCACACCUGUUCAGGGAAUUUUUUUAAAGGUUGAGGUUUUACUGUGAGAGACCCCCCCCAUGGGAAAUGGGGGCACCAUGCUGCUCUGGUUCAGUUCCUACACAAAGGACUGCCAAUUCCAGGUGGUAGUGCUUGAGGAGACUACUGCUCAGUGUAAUACAGUGGUACCUCAGGUAAGUACUUAAUUCGUUCCGGAGAUUUGUUCUUAACCUGAAACUGUUCUUAACCUGAAGCACCACUUUAGCUAAUGGGGCCUCCCGCUGCUGCCGCCGCGCCGCCGGAGCACGAUUUCUGUGCUUAUCCUGAAACAAAGUUCUUAACCCGAGGUACUAUUUUUGGGUUAACGGGUUAACGAAGCGUAUGUAACCUGAGGUACCACUGUAGUGCUUCUCCUAUGAUUCACAUGGUUCCACUUUGAUGUCUAUGCUUUCUACCAACUACAUAAUGCUACUGAGUGAGAUCAUAUGGGGAUUUGGAAGGAGCUUUCCCCCUUUCCCUCCUGCUUUUCGUGUGGCUUAUAAAGAAGAAACAAUCCCUCCCUCUCCAAUGAUAACCUCCAAGUCUCUCACUUGGACUACUGCAAUGCGCUCUACGUGGGGCUACCUUUGAAGGUGACCCGGAAACUACAACUAAUCCAGAAUGUGGCAGCUACACUGGUGACUGGGAGCGGCCGCCAAGACCAUAUUACACCGGUCCUUAAAGACCUGCAUUGGCUCCCAGUACGUUUCCGGGCACAAUUCAAAGUGUUGGUGCUGACCUUUAAAGCCCUAAACAGCCUCAGUCCAGUAUAUCUGAAGGAGCGUCUCCACCCCCAUCGUUCUGCCCAGACACUGAGGUCCAGCGCCGAGGGCCUUCUGGCGGUUACCUCACUGCGAGGAGCCAAGUUACAGGGAACCAGGCAGAGGGCCUUCAUGGUAGUGGCGCCUGCCCUGUGGAACGCCCUCCCACUAGAUGUCAAAGAGAAAAACAACUACCAGACUUUUAGAAGACAUCUGAAGGCAGCCCUGUUUCUGGAAGUUUUAAUGUUUGACAGAGUAUUGUAUUUUAAUAUUUUGUUGGAAGCCACCCAGAGUGGCUGGGGAAACCCAGCCAGAUGGAUGGAUUAUUAAUAAUAAUAAUAAUAAUAAUAAUAAUAAUAAUAUUCCACCUUAUACCCAGAGGUCACAGAAAAGAUCACAAAAUCAAAAUAAGAACAAUAACCCAAUACCCACCUCCCAAAGAAUCACAUUUUAAAGGGUAUAUGAUGUUCAUCCAGUCAACCAAACGCCUGGUUAAAAAGGAACAUUUUUGCCUGGCCCUAAAGGUGUAUAGAGGGACGCGGGUGGCGCUGUGGGUAAAACCUCAGCGCCUAGGACUUGCCGAUCGCAUGGUCGGCGGUUCGAAUCCCCGCGGCGGGGUGAGCUCCCGUUGUUCGGUCCCAGCUCCUGCCCACCUAGCAGUUCGAAAGCACCCUUAAGUGCAAGUAGAUAAAUAGGUACCGCUUUCUAGCGGGAAGGUAAACGGCGUUUCCGUGUGCGGCGCUGGCUCACCAGAGCAGCUUCGUCACGCUGGCCACGUGACCCGGAAGUGUCUUCAGACAGCGCUGGCUCCCGGCCUCUUAAGUGAGAUGGGCGCACAACCCUAGAGUCUGUCAAGACUGGCCCGUACGGGCAGGGGUACCUUUACCUUUACCUUUAAAGGUGUAUAAUGAAGGCACCAGGUGAACUUCCCUGGGGAGAGCAUUCCACAGGCAGGGAGCCACUGCAGAGAAGGCCCUGUUCUCGUGUUGCCACCCUCCGGACCUCUUAAGGAGGGGGCACACGAAAAAGGGCCUCAGAGGAUGAUCUCGGGGUCUGGAUAGGUUCCUAUGGAAAGAGGCGGUCCUUGAGGUAUUACGGUCCUGAGCCAUUUAAGGCUUUAUAGGUCAAAACCAGCACUUUGAAUUGAGCCCGGAAACUAAUCGGUAGCCUGUGCAGUCAGACCAGGAUCAGUGUAAUAUCUUCAGACCGUCUUGCUCUGGUGAGCAACCUGGCUGCUGAAUUCUGCACUAGCUGAAGUUUUCGAACCGUCUUCAGAGGCAGUGCAUAAUGUCUGGCUCUGUGUAUACACUCCCAUUUGCCCUGCACCUAAGGUGCUUCCACCACCGGUUUGGGAAGCAAAUGUCUAUGCACCAUAUGAGCCACAAUCCAUAUUGAUCCUGCUGUUUCUUUGGCAUUUGAGCUGCCAAACCAGCUGAGACCCAAAAUGGAGAAAAGGAACAGCCUAGCUUCAUUUGAAGCACCGUUAAAAAACCGAUAGAAAUACAAUCCCUUUUGGAAGCUAACCCUUCAAUCUCUGAAGAGCGCCGGGUUGUUGUUGUUUUUUACCGGAGAACCGGCAAGCCAUAAAAAAACAUUGCAGCAGUUUCACAAGUUGCCCUGGAAUGCUGUAGUAGUGAAACCCUGUGUGAACAAAUCUCCCCCCCCCCCAAAAAAAGCCCAAACCAAAAAACUCUAAUGUCAGGUGGUGCCCCUCCUUGGAACCCAACCCUGAGCAGCUUGCCCCCCCCUCGCCUCGCCUCACAAUGCGGCAGAGAGACCGCAAUGGCCCCGUUUUACAUGAAAAAGGCCCCUAUUGAGGCUCGCUGGGCCAAGGAGUAGGAAUUAUUAAUCACUCCUCCAAAAGGAUCUGCCCAAUUCAUGGCAACCUAACUUCAAAUCAAUUAGUUCAUUUGUCCUCCCCUAUAGCUGUCCGGCGCACAAUGGCGACAUCUCCCGCAAAAGAUGACACGGGGGGGGAAGAAACCACAAAGAUUGCUUGUCCUAAUGAGCAAUUAGGAAAGCGUGUAGGUUUCCUCUUUCUUCGGCCCAUUCUGAGGCCUGAAUUCUAAAAGUGAUGCUUUUCUUCUCAACUUCCUGUUUGUCAAAUGAAGUGCUAAUCAGGGCUCCUUGGGGAUGGCGAAGGGGGGGCGGGAUAGCACAACCUCUAGCUGACCAAAGUUGGAUGAGGUGAAGUGGCUUCGUCCGCAGCGCAGGGUAGCUGGAAGAGAAAAUAAUCAGGAGCGGUGUGUCCCCCCACACCCCGCACCUUCGGAAAACACGCUGCCCUCCAAGCAGUUCCACACACCUGAGUUAAAAUUGGCACAUCACUCGUUAGCCACGCCAACGCUCCGAGGGGGCUUGCACAUGCAGCGAUAAGCAUGCCUCUUUCCCUUAUGAAAGUUGUGUGGGAGACUGCGGUCACAUCAUACAAUGCAGAUUCUUGCUGGCUAGUGUGAUAGGAAUUUUGAGGUCUUUGUUGUUGUUGUUUAGUCGUUUAGUCAUGUCCGACUCUUCGUGACCCCAUGGAACAGAGCACGCCAGGCACUCCUGUCUUCCACUGCCUCCCGCAGUUUGGUCAGACUCAUGCUGGUAGCUUCAAGAACACUGUCCAACCAUCUCGUCCUCUGUCGUCCCCUUCUCCUUGUGCCCUCAAUCUUUCCCAACAUCAGGGUCUUUUCCAGGGAGUCUUCUCUUCUCAUGAGGUGGCCAAAGUAUUGGAGCCUCAGCUUCACGAUCUGUCCUUCCAGUGAGCACUCAGGGC
rnacentral:lncRNA from 1 species